rnacentral:lncRNA from 1 species
GUGAUUCUCAGAUUUUUUUUUUUUUUUUUUUUGUUGGGUUGGGUGGGGACUGGGGAGCAGGAUCGUGGAUGCAUUGUGGAUAUCACUUGACAACUUCCAUCGUUGCACCUCCACUUCUGAGCCUGCCAUUUGCCCUUGCUUCACUUGGAUGGGCCGCCGGAGUGAUUAGUCUUGUCAUCGGAGCUGCUGUCACAUUCUACUCCUACAAUUUGAUAUCUCUAGUGCUCGAACACCAUGCUCAACUGGGUCACCGGCAACUCAGAUUCCGGGACAUGGCUACUGAUAUUUUAGGUAAAUUCUCCCCACAAAAAUCUCGGAAAAAAAAAGAAGAUAAUAAUUAAUGAGAUUAAUUUUUUAUGCACUGUCAAUAUAAGAAUUUUAUUAUCUCUGCACAAACGUAUGUACAGUGAUCCCAAUCCAAUAAUAGUCGUACUUUAGAGUCCAAAACUUUAGUUCAAACUGAGAAUUGCUUUUCUCUGCGUGACUUCAUGUUAAGAGUGCCGUAAUGCUCUAUUUGUUCUUGUAGCAUUUGUUUUCGGUUGACCAGACCCCUAAGCGGUGGUAUUGGUGUUGAGAGUUGAAACUGCCAUUUGGCCUUUUCGACUCUUAUCAAUAUUUUUGAUCGGUGGCCACUAUAAAAAUUCAAAGAAUCCCUAUUUCUUAAUAGUCAAAAGAAAACGCCAGCCAUCAAACCACGACCCAACUCACCAUACAGGAUUUCUGAAGCUGAGAAUUCAAGUUUAUUUCAACCUAAGUUUUUUUUUUUUUUUUAUAAAAAAAAUUCUAGAUAAAUUUAUCUGUUCUAUUAGGAUCACCAUUCUUGUCUUGUCUUGUAAAUGAAAAUUGUACAGGUUUAAUUAGUUUUCGUUCAUCAUAGUAGAGAAGAAAAAUAGAACCGCUUAGAAAUUUAUUUUACUUGUGAUUCAAUUUAGGAAAACCUCUUUUAUGUUGAAAAUAAAAGAUUAUCAUUGCCAAAGUCCCACACGUAAGCCCUUCAGCUGUUAUUGUCUAUGUUCGUCUCAUUCGUGGAUGUCAAAGUUUUCUUUAUUCAAGACAAAAUAGCUGUCACAAUUUUGGUAAGAAAUCUUGUGAUUUUUAUUGUGAUAUUAAUAAGAAUUUUGUAUAUGUGACGUGCAUUUGAACACGUUAAAAUAUACUCCCUCCCUUUUUUUAUAACUGACGUUUAAGGUUUUACACACUAAUUAAGAAAAAUUUUUCAUUGCUUAAAUCUGUACACUACUUUUCUUUUGUACCCUCAUUAAUUACUAGGGUUGUUACAAAGAAAGAAGAAAUAAUUACUAGGAGUAAUAAUUAAGAACCCUGUAUUGGAAAAGAGAGAUAAAAUGGUAAAAUUGUGAAAAAAUAAUUAAUACUGUAUGGGGAUAAUAAAACGACAGAUAAAAGUACACUAAAGCAAAUUUUUUAAACGUCAGUUAUAAAAAAAGGGAGGGAGUAAGUCAUUAGUGCAUAAAAAAAUUUAUCCUAUUAAUUAUGUUUUUCUUUUCCUUUUUUUUGUGAUUGGAUUAGUUCUUGGUCAAAACCGAAAAGAUAGGUACUUAACUGCAUGUGGACACUCAAGAAUGAUUGCACAAGUGAAUUUCAUUUAGAAUUGCUGAUAUUUUCUUUUUCACAUUGUGUUGUUAUGCUAGAUACUUAACUUCAAAUGCAAUCGUCUCGUUUUUUUCUUCUUACAAGUUACAAAUUCAACUUUCAAUACGCACAAGUAGGAAAGACCUUCCUACAUUUUUUGAGUAUAUGUCAAAAAAGAUUGUCAAGAAAGAAAGACUGGACACAUCGGCCAAAUGACAAGGAAGUUCUUACCGACCUCUUAAAUUCUAGAAUUAUUACAGAUUUUCCUUUCUCGUUCCAUGAAUUAGUACCUAUUCUGCAUGACAUUGGCUUAUUCAUAAUCCAACGAAUUCUGGCCUUACAAAUCCAAUUUUGGCAGGACCAAAAUGGGGAAAAUUUUAUGUAGGUCCAAUCCAGUUCUUGGUGUGCUAUGGUGCAGUUGUAGGCUCUACUCUUUCUGGGAGGGCAGUGCUUGAAGUCUGUUUCGUUUUUAACAAUAUGUUUCUAACACCACUUUCCUUCAGCCCAAGAAAUUUUGAGCAACUGAGCAUGAAAAUGAUGGACGGGGCCAUACCAUAAGAAAGAUAAUGAUAACAAUAAACCAUACGUUGAUGAAGAAGAACACAGUUUUGCCUCAACCUGUCGACUCCUUUUGCAGGCAAUCUACGUGUUGGUAAAUCCAAAUGGAGAUAUGAAGCUCUAUGAAUUUGUGAUCAUGUUUGGAGGGCUAAUGCUGAUUUUAGCUCAGAUGCCAUCUUUUCAUUCGCUUAGGCAUAUCAAUCUGGCGUCUCUUUAGUACUCUGUCUGGCCUACAGCGCCUGCUGCCACUGCAGGCUCUAUUUACCUUGGUAAGUACUAUUAAGUAAUGUCGGUACUGCUAAUGUGAAACAGCCUUUAUUUGAUAGAAAGAUGGUAUAUAAACUUUGGCUGCAUAAUUUUUUUCUCAGGAAAUUCAUCUAAGGGACCAAACAAGAACUACUCCUUGAGUGGUGGCACUGAAACUAAAGUUUUUUGGCAUCUUCAAUUCGCUGGCCCAUUAUUGCCACCACUUAUGGAAAUGGGAUCAUUCCAGAAAUUCAGGUCCCUUUUCAUUCCACUCAAACUUGAGCCAAACAAAUAAAGAUUUAAGUUAGAUGGCUAUAUAUGACUUUUUUUUUUGCAGGAUUAAAAGAGGUUUCAAUGGUAUCCAUGCAAAUGUACAAACUUAUUGUAUAUCAAUCCUAAUGGAACAUUUCUGAUCAUUUAUUUACAGGCGACAUUAGCACCUCCAGUAAAAGGCAAGAUGUUCAAGGGACUCUCUGUUUGUUACAGCGUAGUCACACUGACCUUCUUUACCGUAGGCAUUUCUGGCUAUUGGGCCUUUGGCAAUGAAGCUGAAAGUCUAAUCCUAAGCAACUUCUCAGAUAAUGGAAAAGCUUUGCUGCCCAAGUGGUUCAUUUUUAUGACCAAUAUUUUCACCAUUCUCCAACUAUCAGCUGUUGCUGUGGUAAAGACCAAACACUAUUUAACUUUUAGCAGAUUCUCUCUGAGUAAUCAAAACCCAAAUAUAUGAGCAGCCAACCCCAAAAAAAAAAAAAAAAAAAGAAAGAAACAAGAUCUUAAAAAUUUUGGAAUGCAAUGUUUAUUGUUCAUUACAUAUAAAUUUUCUCCUUAUACCGUUUAGCUGUCUAUAUUAGUCAGGAAUUUAGGAUUUAGAGAUGAUACUUUGUCUCACUUUUUGAAGCUUUUGACAAAUUGAAAUCAUAAAUUCUUUCAGUGACAUGAGUUUUUCCUACAAGUUAAGGUGGAGCUUAGGGCACUUUUUCUUACAAGUGUUCUGCAUCAAAUUGGCAUAAUAACAACAUAGCAAAUUAUGACUUGUGCCACAGGUGUACUUGCAGCCUACAAAUGAAGUUCUUGAAAGUACGUUUGCAGACCCUAAGAGCAGUGAAUUCUCUGUUCGAAAUAUUGUUCCAAGGGUAAUAUUGCGGUCCAUAUCAGUUGUUAUAUCAACUACAAUUGCAGCUAUGCUUCCUUUUUUCGGAGAUAUUAAUGCUUUGCUUGGAGCUUUUGGUUUCAUGCCACUCGAUUUUGUCCUUCCUGUUGUCUUCUUCAACUUGACAUUCAAGCCAUCAAAGAGAAGCCCCAUUUUUUGGUUAAAUGUCACCAUAGCCGUGGUUUUCGGUACUUUGGGGGUCAUAGGAGCAGUGGCUGCAGUGAGACAAAUGAGUCUUGAUGCUAAAAAUUACAGGUUAUUUGCCAAUGUAUGAUUAGAUAACCAUGGCUAGAAGCAAAUUAUACAGCGAUCUUAUUUUGAUAUACCAAAGCACCUGUCAAAUAUCUAUUAGCUAUAGCACAUUUUUUAUUAUUUUUUCGACAAAUAAAGUACAAUAACUUGUAUCUGAUGAGAGACUCAGGCAAAACAGAUCGAUUUGAUUAGUGAAUUCAUGGCUAGCAGCAAAUUAUACAGCGUUCUUUUUUGAUAUACCAAAAGCAUUCACCUGUAACAUAUCUAUUAGCCAUAGCACUUUUUUUUUUUUGGGUUGACAAGAAAGUACAAUAACUUGGAUCUGGUGAGAUAUUCAAACAAAACUGAUCGAUUUGAUUAGUAAAUUCAAAGUUGCCAGCCUUAAUCAAUUAGCCACUUAAUGAAAUGAUCUCAUGUUUCACCAGAAUCUACCACUCUUUCUUGGUUCAACAUGAAAAGAGUAACCCUCUGUUCAGUGUCUACAGCUCCUAGAGCUAGCUAACAAAAACUGCUAUUCAACACCUACAAAAUCCCUCAAAAAACUAUGGACCGCUCCAUCAAUCAGCCAAAUGAAGGCAAGGAUCUUGAAAUUAUUAAAUCACUCGGACUGUUGCUGCUUUACUCAGAAGAAAAGUUCAAACAAUGAGAAACUAUAGAUGGUAACACGUCAUUCAACUUCAUCCAAAUGUCCAAAGAGUUCUUGCCAAUGAAUUGCAGCUUCUUCAGGUGACCGAAAGGACCAUAUAUGAUUGUUGGCCUGCUCACGUUUCUCGAGGAUUUCCUGCAUUUAGAAGACUAAAUUGGUAAUCGGUUGAAAAGCAUAAAGCAGGAACACUAUUGAAUAUAAUCCGACUUUUCAUACUCCUUCCAAAAAGAAUAGUCAUCUAAGAAUAAUCUGAAGAUCAUGAAGUAAUAAGAGUGAAACAAUAGUAGGAUCAAAUCCCAAGUACAAGCAUUAAUGACAACAGUGUCUGGUGAAGUGUUUUCCAGAUGUUCCUCUGAACAUGAUGAUGACAGCUGACUUAAUAAAUAAGCAGAAAAAGAAUCCACCAUUUUCCAGAGUAGUCAUGUGCAUUGAUAAAUUUAUAGUUUUUGCUUCUAGGCACCAACUUCAGAAGCAAGGCCACGCCAUGUUAUUUGAACACAGCACUUAUUGAAUAUUUCUUUUUUUUUUUUUUUGUUUAGCCAAAAUUAACUACCAAUGGAUUGUCGUUAAAAUACCACAAAGAUGGCUAAGGAGAAACGGAAUGCUAAGACGCUGGCUUUUACGAAGCACAACUUACUGUACUGUCACACCAGUUAGAGAAACUACACUUGCAUAUCAGUCAGGAACUAUUAACUUCUUAGCUGGUAAAAGUACCAAAAAUGCAAUAAGGCAAUGACAAUUUGGAAACAGUAGGGAAAACAAGCAUCACUCAAUGCACCUAUAUGGCAUAAAUCUUCAACAAAUGCUCUCAGUAUUGAAACAACAUGCCAUGGUACUGAUCUUAAAUUAGUCCAGUGAAGCACAACUUUUGGAUUUAUUGUCUCAAGCACAUUGCGGCAAAUAAACAAAGCAGAAUGACCGAGUUGGCUGUUAUUUUCUGUAGGGGCAAUCCAAAUCAUUUUGAGAUUUAUUUCAAGAAAUAGCAAAUCAUCAUUUAAUUUCUGUGCAAUACCAAACAGUAAUUAAUAGAUCAAAGAAUAAUCCAACAAACCCCACAAUUAGUAAAAUGCUUCUACCUUAAACUUACUGCAACCUUCAUUUAGGAACUCAGACUUCCUAUUUAAAAAUUGGCAAUCCAAAUGUAGUGAAGAAAAAAUUUUAAGGACGAAAUAGAGUUGAUUCCUCUUUUAGCUACAUAUGAUGCUCAAAAGUACGUGAAAACUUAACUUUCUCAUGGUCUUGAUUUAUUGUCCCAUGAAAUUAAAACCUGUAGGUCCAAAAUACGAUAGUUGAUUAUCAUUCCAAGCAUAAUCAUGGGGAUGAAAAUUGCACCAAUUAUUCUCUCUGACAAUAGUAUUUUAACCAUCCAAGUUACUUUCUCAACACUAAAUGCUGGGGUUUUUUGGAUACAAAUUUAAGCACUGGAUAUGUUUAGUACUUGCUUGGGGCUAACCAGGGAUCUAGUUCCCCUACAUAAUGGGGGAAAUUACACGAACUCUGAGAAUAACUAGUAGUUGUCUUUUACUAUUCUUACUGCAUUUUGUUAUAUUCUGUAGCACAACUACUCUCAGUUCUAGCCAAAACCUUCAGAAUCCAAAUGUCAUGUUCAAAGUAUCAUCUUAUUAGUUCAUAGUUAAAACAAUACAACAGCCUAGUUCAAACAAAAAAUCAGGAACCCGCAUCUGCUUUAAGGGUAUAUUAUCCUCUAAUGACAUAGAAAGGAAGUUUAGAAGCCAAAUCAAGCUUGACAUGAGGAAAACAUUUGAUAAAUAGAAGAAAAUAAUCGGCUUUGUCCCUGACCAUUUUAGUUAGAACAGCCUAUGCCUAUGCCUCUCAAGAUGCUGUUAAUCAAUGCAUUUUCAGUUUUACAUCAAGCUAUGACAAUGGCCUUUUACCAAUUGAGGAAGAGGGUCCUUGUGAUAUGCACAAUAAAAAUAAAUAAUACAGACCUCCAGCUCAGAAGGUCUCUUGGUUUUGAGGUUUAGACAAUCAAAUAGAGCAUUCCACUUUGCGGAACAAUUAUCCAGCCAACCCAUCCGAUAGUAUUGCUGCAUCUGAUGUACAGGUGCUGCAAAUCACAAUUUUUUACCACUCAGUCCAACGAGUCAACCACCCAAAAUAAAUAGAAAUAGAAAUAGAAAUAAAACUGCUGUUCAGAUUGUGGAGUUGAAUACAACGAGAAGCAAGAAAGAAUUGUAGAAAGAGAUAUCUAUAUCUGAAAGGCAUGAUGAUGAUAAACCUUUACGUAAAAUCAGACAGAUAAUUUUAGAAUCUGGAAUAUUUCUGGGCUACAAUAGAAUUUAAUUGAUACUGUAAAUACCAAUUAAUGCUCUCAAGAAUUUAGGUCCACGGAAACAUAUAAUCAGCAAACUAUAAAUUACCAACUUUAAUUCUGUGAAAUGAGGAUGAAAAGUCAAUGAUAAAGUGAGCAGGGCAAAGAGAGAGAAGGGAGAGCGGGUGUACAAUAGCAAAACCAGAGCGCAUCGAAGUAGGUGGAGCACGACAACUUCCGGCGCGGUGCUGUGGCGUCGGCUACCUCCGAGCUCAUCUUCACCUUAAUUGGUGGAGUACUACUCUGAAAUUGCCCUUUCACCUAUGAGCAUGUGUAUGUUUACGCAGGCAGUGGUGCUUCCUCUAUUUUUCCUCUUUCUUUUCUUUUUCUUUUUUUUUUAGGUGAAAAUUACACGUUAACAUCACAUUCUUCCAUCUCUCGAUUUACCAUAUAAACUGUUGAUGACAAAUUUCUCAAAAAUAAUGUUAAAAAAAAUAUAUCGCAGAAAAGGCCACGGGCUAAUAAUUUGUUAAAUAGCAUCUAAUCUCAAGAGUGAAAUUGGCACACUUAUAUAGGACUAAAUAAGUAUUAGCAUAUGUUAAGCUAAAUCCAACUACAAAGUGGAAAAUAAUUUUAACUGAUUCGAUAGUUAAUCUUUGUUUCCAUCUUAAUUUGAGCACAACUUCUUCAAGAUUUCGAUAUAGCCUAUCAUGUAAGGUUACAAAUCAACAUUUUUCUACAAAAAUCAGGUGGGGAUGGUAAAUCGGACGUAAUUUCCAUAAAGAUGAAGUUGGUUUUGCUAAGAGUUAUAAUAAUCAUUUUACAAGUUUGGCCAACUUUUGAAUUUUGCCAAUAACACAAGAUACACCGAUGCAGCUACAACAAUCAUCAUCAGUUUCUGAGUCCUGACCACUGACCAGUGUCUCCAAUAUGGCCCUUAGUAGAAAAUUCCUAAAUCCCCCAUAAUUACCUAUGAAACGAAUACAAACGAGUCACCAACUCAGCCUCGAGUAAUUUCAGAUCAUAGCUCUAAGAACUGCAGAGAAAUGAUGGAGCUAUGUGAUUGACAUUCAUAGCAGCAUCCGUUCCAUUUAUCUCUUUCUCAACAGCUAUAACUUGGGCUUCAAUUCAGUCUAUAGGUCAAGAGCGAAAGUGGCGAGGAGAUAAAUGAAAUCCAAUGCACUUUCUUGACGUAUUGCAACUCCGACAGAACCAGGAAUUGGAGUUCGACUCUGUCGGAGGCAAAGAAUUGUUGACACAACUUAGCAGCAGGCUUGUCUGCUUUAAGCGAAAAGCAUCUUAAGCUCCUCGAUGCGUGCUGAUCUAACUUCUUGGUCAGUCAAAGCACCAGAAAUCAUCCGUUGUUUGCGUGCUUGCACUGCUUCCAUUCUUUCUUCUACAGUUCCCUGCCACCAAGAUAGUCCACGUGAGUAUUCACCACACUUACAGCUAUACCUACAAUUCUACCGAGUACCAAUAAAGGUUAAUCACAUUCAUGUCUAAUCCAAAGUACAGGGUCCAGCCACAUAUAUAUAGUGCAACAAGAGAAUAAGAAUGCUACCAAACUAGCAAAAGAAGGCUUGCGGGCGGGACAAUUCCAAAAGGAUUUUAUGAUGUACCUUCAUGAUGAACCUUUUGAUCAUUACUUUUUCAGUUUGUCCAAUGCGGUGAACGCGCAUUACAGCUUGUUCUCUACGGCUGGGUUCCACCAGGGAUCCUAUGUAAGUCAAAUGUAGGCUUAGUGUAUAUACAGGGAACAAAAGCCAAUUCCAAGUACUACUUUUCUACUAUUGAAGUCAGCAGAUUUAUGAGAUUACUGACAAGAAACCGAUUUUCCAAUUGAUGAUAGCAAAUUUUUUGUUUCCCGCCUGACGAUUGAAUAAAAAGAACUCAUACUAGUGUUUUCAUCCAUAAUUACUUCCCCACGGCACAACUCAAAGUAAACACUCCUUAACAACAUAUUCAAGGACAAAUGCUCUCCACAAAUUUGCAAGACUUUGUACACAUGACUACCAGCAAGAUGCAUACCAAGACAAAAGCGUUGGAUGCAGCUGUUAAGUUGAUCCCAACUCCCCCAGCCUUCAAUGACAUUAGCAAAACCUGUUUAAGUGAAAUUUGAAGAAGUGAGCCCAAAAAACAAAUAAAUAAAUAAAAUAAAAUCUAGAUAGUAUGCUCCUCAUGCCAAAACCGUGGAGACAAACCAUGAUGUUAUCUUCCUCUGAGAAUUGCUUUAUUACUUUCUCACGUUGUUGCUGGUUAAGGGUCCCAUCCAGACGAAGAAAUUGAAUAUCACUCCUAAAAGUAGAAAGGGAGAGGGGAAAGAAUUGCAAAAGAAAUGAAAGGCAAAUAAGGCUUAGAAGAAUUAAUCAGCGGAUUGAGACAAUAAUAGUCACGAUUAAUACCAUUAUGCAACAAAAUACAAAAAGCGAAACUUGGCCAACAAAUUUCUCAAGAACUCUACACAUAUACACUAGACGAUCAGACAGCUCAAAAUUCUUCAAUCAUGUAUGCUCUUGGUAAAAAUCCCCCCCACUCCAACACCCAGACCCAAUCUAGCCUGAGAAAAUCAAAUAUAAAGAAACCAAAAAUAACCCCUUUUGCUAGAUAUUAAGGGCUAUGGAAUGGUAAACAAGCCAAGCAAAUUAACUGAAUGGCUAACAAACAGAACGUUACAUUCCAGUACUAGAAAACAAAUGAUGGCAAAACGAAGACAGAAAACGUUACCGAGAAAAAGCAAUCUGCAAUAGAUCAAGAAAGGCAGUCCACUGGCUGAAAACAAUGCUCUUGGACCCUGCUAAGCGAAGAAUUUCGAGUUCAUGCAGAAGUGCAGAAACCUUAGAUGAUUCGACCCAAUUUCUCUCAAUAUCAAUCCGGAAGCGACUUUGAGUAGGAGCUGUGAGAAGCUCUUGCUUGGUAAUCAUCUUUCUGGAAUGUGACAAGCUCCCAACGAAUUAGUGUCAGGCAAGAGGAUAAUGUAGUAAGCUCAUACCAUGUAGGAGUGUUAGAAGAAAUAAAAGGAAAAAGCAUGAUGGUACCUACAAACAGGACAAAAACCAGAAGUAGAGCUUCGCCAACUUGCUAAGAGGCAUUCUCUGCAUAGUCUAUGAGCACAUGGUGUCAAUACAGCAUCUUCAAAAGCUUCAAGGCAUAUCGGGCACUCUCCUACUUCCCCUUUUCGUAACUCUUCAACAACCUCCUCAACAUAAGCCAGUGAUGGUACAUCUCUAGCUUGCCCAUCCACAAUGUCCUGACCAACCUUAAGAAAGCGUCUUGUGAGCUUAUUCAGAUCAGAGAACUCUUGCGUGUCGCCCCGACUGGACACAUAAAACCCAUCAAAAAUGAAUCAUUAAAACUAAUCUCAGAAAAUCUCACAUAAACAUGUGUGAGCAUGUGCAAGCUUUACAGAACAUCUCCCAUCACUCAAUAGCACAUGGUCAAAAGCUCUAAAACAUUAGGAGACCAUGGCAGUAACCUUUAUCCUUAGUCAUAAAUGACUUAUCAAUGGGAUAAUGGGAAUCAGAUAAAGCUUACUUCUUGUGUAAACAAUUUCCAAAAAACUCAGAAAGUUGGAGAGCUAAAUCAGGCAGCACUGUGAACAUGCUAGAUGUGGCUAUUAGAGCAUUAGGUUGAGUUGCAAAAGAUCAGCAGGCUAGUGGGGCUGUCUUAAGCUUUCCAUUCAAUAGUGAGAGCUGCAGUUGGGGUUGUCUAGUUUGAUUUAUGCACAAUCAUGGUACCAAAAUUUCAUGUUUAACCAUAAGAUAUGUUACUAAAGAAGGGAUACAAAGGGAAAAUAGAAAAUAUCCUACCUCAUCACUAAAAAUGGAUGGUCACAACAUUGACGAAGACGCAAGAGCAACUCCAAUAUUGAAGCAUAAUUGUGAAGAAUACGUCCUUGCUCGACAAAUUUAUCAAAUUUCACCUUAAGAUAUGGGACAAAAUGGAACAUUAGGGAAAUGGAUACCCCAAAAAAAAAGUGCUUCAGAUCAAUUAAAUACCUUUGAUCUUUUAAACAAAGCAUCAUAAAAAUCCCUCUCUGCUUCUGUAAGUUCACAAUAUAUCACUUGAAUAUCAGCAGGUGGAAGAACCAAAAUUGGCCUGCAAACACAUAAAAGUACAAGGAAUAUAGCAAGCAACAUAGACAAUGGAGGAAUAUUAGAAUUUACGGAUUCCUAAGAUAACCUUACCUGCCUUCCUUGUCAGUACUAGAUUUAGUUCUUCUUAGCAUAAUUGGCUUUAAUAUUGAUUGGGCCAACUUCAAACUACGCGCAUCACCCUCCUCAAAAGGUUUCUGAACAAGUUUGUUCCACCUAAAUUAAGCAUCCAUUGGUCAAUCCAAGGCAAUCUGCUAUAAAUUUUUGGAAAAAAGGAUCACUAGAACACUUUCCAAUAGCAGGGCAGCAUGCAAUCUCUGAAGGGGCAACAGAAACAGGAUUUGGUAAAGUCAAAAGAUAAAACAGUUCAGCUAGAGCCUAGAGCAACAUAACCACAAACUUCACAAAAUCAAAAGCAUAAAAAUAAAGAAAGAUCCUAUUGUAAGCUAAAUUUCAACCAUAGCUGGAUUAAAGAAAGAAGAAUGGUGAUAAAAACAAUUCCAAUGGUGAAACCUAAUAUCCAAAAAAAGAAUGGAAGCUAAACCUCACCAUGCCCAGCUUCCCCAUGGUUCCACCUUCAAAAAUCGAAGAAGACUGUAAAGAUCUUCUAGGUUGUUCUGUUGCAAAAGAAUUGUAUUCAGAAAAAGAAUUAGACUAAAAGGUAAAAUCUGAAGAUUACUACGAGGUAGAUAAGCUCAAUUACAAUCAUCAUAAGCUCUUUCAAAAUCUGCAUUUAGAGAAAGAACUCUACUGCUCCCAAGCUUAAGGUGCAAAGAAGACUUAAUUCGAAACUUGUCAUAAUAAAUGUUAAGUGCUCUUCAUUAUCUUCAACCAACAGAGCAUACAUGAAUGCAACAUAUUUUAUUUCAGGCCAAAUAAUCACCCAAUAUACCUGGAUAGGGGUGCCAGUAAGGCACCAUCGACGAUCAGCAACAAGCGCAGCUGCAGCCAUGGAAAUUUGGCUUUUUGAAGACUUUAUUGUGUGUGCUUCGUCUAGCACCACUCUAAACCAUCUCACUGAGAAGAGUCCCCCAGUGACAUCAGCAUUCUACAAAGGAAAACCCAUUAAAUGAGCUUGUCAGAUAAUUAUCCCAGAUAAGACAGAUUAUAAUCAUGUCAAUAGCAGAUGAAGGGCAAAAGAGUCAGGCAAAAGGAUUUCCAGCAAUCUGAGCAUAACUUGCAAGUGGUAGAUUUCCUUCAGCAUAGGAAACUGCAAGUGAAAUUUUAGCUACUUCUGUUAUGAUCAAACGAAGAGAUUGUAAAAAUACCUCUGCUGAGAACUCUGAGGCUAAAACUCCAUAAGUUGUGAGCACAACAUCACUUUGGCCUAGAACGAGAGCAUCCCUUGAUCUGUUCUGCCCAUAGUGAAUGUAAAUCGACAAAGUCCCAGGUUGUGCAUGGGUUUCAAUUUCUGCCUGUUAUCAAGAUAACCAUUUGUUUCACAGUAAAAAACCUAGCAAACAUAUUUCACUCUACAUGCUACAUGUAAAUUCACCAUUUCAUUUGAUUUUUCAAACACUACUUGCAGUCAAUGUGUACAUACCUUCCACUGACCUAUAAGGGUCAUUGGACAGAUAAUAAGGUUUCCACCACAUGUGAGAAAGUUUUUUGGCUUCAAAAGCUUUUCGAAUCCAGAAAUUUUUGCCGCUUUUUUUGCCGUUGGAGAUUGAUCUGAAAUAAGGCUAGCUUCACCAUUUCCAGUCAAAGUCUGGGCUGUCAAUUGGUUUCCUAAUGAACCACCUCUUUCAGAAUGUGUUAGAAGAAGAGCUAUGGUCAUGAUAGUUUUCCCAAGCCCCAUAGAAUCUGCCAGAAUCUUCAAAUUUUCCUUGAUUUAAAUGCAAUACAGGAAAAACAACUGAAUAAAAAUUUAAGAUGAGAUCCAGAAUCAUACUCCUCCUCUGGCCAUCCGAAGAGUGCUUGGAAAUUCUGUUGUUGCAUCGCCAGAAAAUGCAUUCAAGUAUAUAACAAGCCCCCUUCUAGCAAAGAACACACCCAGCUUUAGAAGAUGAGUCAAAUUAUAAGAUAAUUAGAGAAUUUAAGCAUUCUCCUGGUCACCAACUCGAAAACAAAGCUUUCUAACUCACUUGUCUGCAAGCCGGUAUGCAUCCCAACACGGGUGCAACGUUGAUGCUGCUUCAUCCAGGCAAUGGCCCCUCUCAAGUUGAAUCAUCCAAUGAAGAGCCUGCUUCUGAUAUGGAUGAAGUUCACACUGAAGAGUACUUGGAGGUCCCAUUUCCUAAAAUAAGUGCCAAUAUAGUUAACAUGCAGAGAAAUCGUAUACAACCCCCAGCCCCAAAAAAGACAUCAAACUUCACAGAGCACAUUCACAUGCAAACUGCCAGUAGGCCAGUACCAGUAAUUCAGAGCUGUCUGCAACACCAACAAUUUUGUCAAGAUCAUUGUCAGAUAUUGACUCCUCAUUUUCCAUCUUACUUCCAUCUAGAGUUGAUUGGCUCUUGAAUUUAGGAAUAGGCAACAAUGGUGCAGAGACAUUAAAGCUGUCCUGUUCAGAUAAAUAUAGAACUUAAAGGCUUUUUUUCUUAUUUUAAAAAACUUAAUCCAUUUCUGAAGAAACUCGACAGCCAGUAAUGUUUAAUGUACCUCUAAGUUCAAUGGACGCUUCUUCGUAUACAAAUCGCCUGGAGUGAAUUCUGCCUAAAACAGAUUAAUGACAUUAAACAGCUCAAAAACAUGACAAAACCACAACUUCCAUACUCAGCACUUUAACGGUUAUUUGGAACUACACACACGAAGUCAAACAUGACCAAACUUAUUGUUUUUAUUACACUCUAUAUACACACUGAAUGAUUACACCGUACUAACUCUUAGAGUUGUUUAAAAACAAAACUGCUAAAAGUAAAUUGUCACCUUCUGAAAAGGAGAGAGCCCCAGCAAUUGGAAAAGCGUUGGCAGAGGAUGAAUAACUGAUUCAUCAUUUGAGGCUGCUUUCAGUGAAGCCUGAUGGCUCUUUUGGAACAUGGAACUGUUUAUAUACACGCUGCAUAUAAUGCAAUUAAAAGAAAUCAACUGUCACCCUCUAUCUGCUGCACAACCACAUAUACAAAUUAGUACAAUAUAAGAUAUACAGAACCCAAUCAUCACAACUAUACCUGACGGACAGAAUAAUGCUGUCCAUAAUUCCUAAUACAGGUGGAGCGGAUUUACAAUGCCCAUCAAUUCUAACUUUCUUGUCCCUCACAAGUGGUAAUAAGCAUCGAGCCCAUUCAUAUGGGAUGCGGCCAAUCUGCUAGCAUUAUCACAAACAUAUGUAAAAAAUACUACUUAAAGGUCCAACCAAAGCUGUUUCAUUUUUCACGCUUCUCAAACAACUAUAUUAAACGCCAUGCUACUUUCACCAAAUUAGACAUUUUUCAGCAAAUUAAGAUCUUACUUAUCCUUGCACCACUUUAUCAUUAAAAGGGGACAACAGAUGCAUUUUACAAACACAAAGCAUAUGACUUUGUGUUCUAAUUUUCUUCUUAACAAUUCAACUUAGAUCAAUGAACGAUAGUACCUCUCCACAAGCAUUCGUGGAAAUCUGACAAUUUCAGAAGAAGAAGACACCUGCCGCCCCCGACCACCCCCAGACUUUCCAGGAGAAGGUGAACUCGACUUUCUCUCCACCGGAAAUGUGAAAAAAACCUCCUCCCCAGGCUUCAGAGUCCUUCCUUUACACGUGGAAAUCCCUGCAACCUCACCACACCCCACGAGCCACCACUCACUCCCCAUUGAACUCGAACUCGAACACCCAUUGGAGCUCGAACACCUCGCAUCCUCAACUUUCCUCUCUCUCUCACUAUCCUCUAUCCUAGCCUUUACAGCCCCAUUUGAAGCCGAAACCCGACACAAAUUCUGAUUCUUGGCCUUGCUAUCAUGAUCGUCAGUACCAUUCACACUGGGAUUUGCCGCAGUUGCCGGCUCGGGGCUCAAAUUUCGAUUCAAAGGCUCGGGUUUUUUGGGAAUUUCAGGUUUUCUAAAACCGGGAGUGUCAAAAAUGAUGUUAAUUGCAGCCGUGGGAUCAUUCUUGGCCAUGUGCAGGGCUCGAACUAUAUCCAUAUUUGAGUAUUCAGCGCCUACGAUGGAUCGAACCAUCAAAACCAAUUCAUCGGUAACUUUACUAAUACCCAUUUAGGUUUUGCUUGAACUGAAGAGAAUAGAAACCCUAGUUGUGAUUUGAGGAAAUUUGAGAAAAUCGAGGCAGCUCUAUAUCCAAAUUUGAAUUUGGGAAUGGUUUCAACUAAUCGAUAGACAGCAGGAAGAGCAAUUUUUAAAUUUUGUUGGCUUUGGAAGAAGGGGAAAUUUUUUAGAAGCCCUAGAAUAAGGGGUUUUUUAAAAGGGCGAAAAACGGAAAAGUGGCGGGGGUGGUGUUUAUAUAGUUCAGGAGUAUCGGGUACAUUCCCAGUUUCCCGCCAUCCCAGUCAUAAAGAGUACUCUCGUUUUGCUUUUCCGCUGUCUUUUGUUCAUGUUCCACUUCCUAGCUUUACUGUCGGUUUGAUUAGGUGAAAAAGUGCCGUCUGAACCAUUUCAAAGGAAAAAAAAAAGAUUCUAUAUAAAAAAAAAGAUUCUAUAGAACCAUUUCAAAGGUUCUAUAAACAAAAGCUCGCUACUACUAGCUUUACUGUCCUUUUGUUCGUGUGCUGCUAUUAGCUUUAAUGCGCAAUUGAUAAGGUGAAAGAGUGCUCAUUAGGAGCUUUGGUUGUCCUGUGAACAAAACUUAUCUAUUAAAAUGUUAAGUGGUACAGAACUUGUGUGUUUUUUUAAGUAAAAAUUAUAAAUCAAACGAUUGAUUAUGAUUAAUUGUUAUUUUAAUCAGAAAAUUUACUUUAACUACUUUAUCUUGCCUUUAAAAUCUAUCUCUAUUUGUUAACCAUGUUUAGAACCCUUCCCAAUUAAAUAAGUUGAUACUUUCAACCUAAUGCCUUUCAACUUUUGUUUUUCUCUAUUUAAUGAUUUCCAACCUCUUCUCAUAUGUUUCGCAUAUUUUAUUUUUCUAAUUUGUGAAUUUACUCCUUAAUGUUAUUUUUUUUCCUCCAUCUCACUUUUCUUAUCGUUUGCUAUUCACUCAGUCUUCUCAAAUUCUUAAUUUUUUCCCUCUUUAGUAAAGUAAGUGAUAUUGCUUAUUUGUUGAUUUUUUAUGUUUCUUUUUUUUAAGUACAUUAUGCAAUAUAUGUCUAUCUAUGUGCAAUAUAGGUAUGAAAUCAAAGAAUUCUAGCUGACCUCAUUAGAAAGAUCUAAGUGUAUUUAGGCGAUUCAUAAAAUUAUACUUGAUUGAAACACAUCCAAAUAAUUAUAGUGGAGGCAGUUUUUAAAAAAAUGUUGGGAAUGAAUUAGAUCAACAUUGAAAUAUGAAAAAUAAGAGUGACUUUAUGCAAAGAUAAUUAAAGAAUGAAUGGGAUUAUUCGAAACAAAAAUACAAAUUUUGGGCAAAACUCAAUGGUAAUACAAUACUGUAAAUAUUACAAAACAAUCAUUUUUUACUUUCUUAGGUCGAAUUUAGAUGUUAGAUAAAUUAUUGAAUGUUAGAUGAAUUAUUGGAUUGUAGCGUUUCUUUUAAUAUUUUUCAUAAUACAUUUGAUCUUUUCUAUUUAUUUAAUUAAAAGUAAUUAUUGUCUUUUUCAUACAUGACAAUUUCAAGCUAAUUAAAUCACAAGUUUUUUAUAAUGAAAAGAUAGCAUGACAAAAUUGUACAAUUUAUCUUAUUAAGCAUUUAGUUUUAGAUGUUUGUCAAACACUACAUAUGGAUUUAGUAUAAGGAAUCAAAUGUUCAUAUAUUUCUUUUCAACGCUCAAGUUCAACAAAUUAAUUAUUUCAACAUUCAAUUUUCAUAAUUUAGAUUUAGUUUUAUCAAACAUGACCUUUGACUAUUUUCAUUUUUGGGUCAAAGAAGACUAAGGAUCCGUUUCAUAAAACUAAAUAUGACAUUUGAAAUCUAAAUCCGUUAAAUUAUUGAAUUAUUAAAUACUGAAAUCCUAAUAUAUAAGUAUAAAAGUGAAUAGCUUGUUAAUUAUUUUUUAGAGUAAGUUUCGCCUAGAUAAUUCAAAUCCAUUUUAUUAAUUAAAAAUAUUCUAUUUUUUGUUAUCAAAUACAUCUGAACAUGCUAAGGCCUAAAUCAAUUAGAUUUAAGUAUUAAAUUAUAUUAUUAAACAAGGCCUAAACUAGAUGCUUAUACACAGUACUUGAUAUACUUGAUAUACUUAUACUACAAUUCAUUGAGAUACCUAUAAAAUACAUUUGACAAGCUUUCAAAUUUUUAAGUAUGUUUGAAGGGUUGAAUUUUUUACAUUAAAAGUUCAAAAAUUUUGUACUCAAUGAACAGGUACUAAAAGCAUGAACGAUGUAUAGUAUGACUAUCUACUUCGUGUUCUAAUACUAAAAACAUUUCGCUGGCUUGUUAUUAUACUAAAAGCUUUAUUUCUUUCAGCUAUGACUAUCUACUUCGUGUUCUAAUACUAAAAACAUUUCACUGGCUUGUUAUUAUUAUACUAAAAGCUUUAUUUCUUUCAGCUAGAUCAUACACUUCCGAUGGGUCUUCGAUUUAAAAUUUAUUUCUUUAUGAUUAUAGGGAAGUUGAACAAGAGCUUCUCUCCUAGAAAUCAUAGCUAAUGAAACAAAGGUCUCAGCCAGUGGCGGAGCUAGGAAUUUGAAAUUAGGGGGGCGAGCUCCUCUGUUAUUUGGAUAAAGUCCAAAUAACUUUCAAACAUUAUUAUUUGGGUCCUUAGGAGGGGGCAAAAUGAAAUUUUUUAUCAAUAUUUUGGGGGGGCAAAACAAUAUAAGAAAAAUUUUUUUUACUUAGAAAUUUUUUUAUAACAAUUGGAGGGGGGGCAAAGUGAAAAUUUUUAUCAAUAUUUGGGGGGGCAAAACAAUAUAAAAAAAAAAUUUACUUAGAAAUUUUAUUUUUUAACAAUUGGAGGGGGGGCGGUUGCCCCCCUGGCCCCCCCUUCCUCCGCCCCUGGUCUCAGCCAUUCUCGGUGUCCUAGUAAUUUUCUAAAGAUAAAUGGUAAUUAAUAUGAAAUUAACUUGCAAAUAGGAGUUGUCAGACACUUUUUCACUAUAGGAUUAUGUGAUAUUUAGACAUUUUAAUUAUGUGAUAGUCGAGUUUUGAUUUGACUAUGGAAGUCAAAGAUAUCCAUCUUCCCUGCCCUGCGUGACUAGAAGACGAGAAGUUGUUGCCUUUUUUUAUGUCAAAAUUUUCCUUGAAUGUAUGAGUUUUUUUUUUAAUCUCCUACUCCCCAUAACUCUUUUUAUUUUUAACUGUCAAAUCCAGAAUAUGAACCCUAAAUUUCAAUAGUGAGGAGAAUUUUAAAAGCCCUCCCUAGUCAUUAACCAACCCCAACGAUUGUAUAAAGGUAAAAUGUGAAAAGGAAACGGGAGGAAAUGUGAUUGUCGACAAAUUGUACAAGUGCUUUAAACUAUAUUGAGCUCAGUAAUACAUGGCACAUCCAUCCCCAUAAGCAAAUUUAUAGUCAUUUUCUUGCAGUAUUAGCUAUUCCUAUUCCAAGGGGGGGAAAAUCCCCUUCAUAAUCUUUAUUUAUAAGGUUCGUGACAGUUUAAAAUACUUAGCAUAAAUCUAAUGUCAAAUUAACCAAAGUAAUAUAUUAGCUAAAUUAGCAAAUUUUACAAGCAAUAGAUGAAAGAUUGCAUUUAAAUUAACUUAGUAAUAUGCUAGUGAAAGUUUCUCAUAAUAAAACCAGUGAAAGUUUAUCAUAAUAAAACUAAUGGAAGAGUUGUAAUUACUACUUUACUAGUGAGGCAACUAAUAGAAUAUGGAAAAUUUUACCUGCUAGAUGUUGCCAAACUAAAGUAGAGAGGUUAAAUAGUUAGCCCCUCAUAGAAAACACACAUUGGCAAUUCAUUUUUUAAUUUAGAUUAUGGACAUGAUGCUUUUGUUCUUGCUGAGGUAUCAAUUGGAGUGUUGAGAUUAGCCAACCAACAUCAACAAGAAGUGAUGUUGGUUGAAUUAUCAGCCAUAGAUGAGAAGCUGUCGACUAUAUUGGGACAAAUAAAAGAAGGGUUGUUGCUUUAUACUACAACAAACAAACAAGGAAGUGCAGUCGAAAUUCUUUCAAGUUAGAGAUAAAAUGUCGUUUAUAGAACAGCAGAAAUUAGAAAAUAAACUAAGUAAUUGGCUAGUAGGUCGAUAACAAAAUCGGUUCACACCCUACUUCAAAAGAGAAUGAUAAAAUAGCAAAUCAAGGUAAAGGAGAGUCCAUGAAAUGAUCAGUAUAAAGCUAAAAGGAGAAAAUACCUUCACCUGCCUCACUUGAACUUGGGACAUCGGUGCUUACCUUAGUUGAUAUGGACAGAGCACUGAAAGACGAGGAAGAACUGGUUCAAGAGUCUUCUUUAAGCGAGUAAUUGUUGGGGAAAUCGGAUAAUUUUUCGCUCAAAAUUCAACUAGUGAUUAAACCGAUUCAAUAAUUUUCAGAAAAAGAUCAUCAAAACAAUCUUCUUAGACAGAAUUACCAUUCCAAAUAAAUUCCCAAGAAAGGCUGGAAGGGUCACAAGUGGUCCCACUUGAUACCCAGUCUCCUAUAACAUAAUUUACGUGCACGGUGUAUUAUCACAAUUAGACCUGUGUGUACAUAAAUAUUACGUACAUACGAAAAAGAAAAAUACACACAAAUGAACCAUAUAAAAUAUUACAAAUAAACCCGACAAAUAUAUUGAAUACUAUACUACAAUAGAAAAAUAAACUACUAAAUAAAUGCGGAAUAAAUAAAAGACAUAAGGAAAGAAUGCACCCGAAAAAUUGAUAAUAGAGUUCGGCUAAUUUUGCCUAAUUUUUUAAAACCGCUCAAGCAGUAUGCUCUUAUAAAUUUUGCAAGAAAAAAAGAAUUCUUUUGUAAUUCUUUUUUCAAAUUCUUUGUUGGUGUGUUUUAAUUGAGAAGAUAGAGAGCUUAUUUAUAACUCUCAAAAUCUUUUCCAAUUCAUAAACCCACCGAUGUGGGAUUUGUAAUUGUGCCAAAUAAUUCAACAAUUUUGGCUAUUUCAAAGUCAAUAAUUGAGGUUUGGUUUUGAAUUCAACAAAUCUCCACUUUGGCAUAAUUUCUAAUCGCACCAAAAAUAUAAAUCUUCUCCCGAAAAAAAAUUAACAAACGGUCUUUACGGUGCCUCCAAAUUUGCCCCCUCAGGCGCCAACUUAAACGUGCAGAAUAUUAAUCAAGUUUAAACAAUGUUCAAACUUGGAUCUUGUAACCACCUUGGUCAACAUAUCUGCAGGAUUCUCCGUAGUUCGUAUUUUCUGGAAAAAAAAUAUCCUCUUCUUCAAAAAUUUCUCGUACAAAGUGAUAGUGAACAUCAAUGUGCUUCGUUCUUGCAUGCAAUACCUGGUUCUUUGCUAAGUGAAUAGCACUCUGACUGUUACAAAAUACGUCAAUGUGUUUUUGACCAACUCUCAAGUCUUCAAGCAAUCCUUGAAACCAAAUUGCUUCCUUCAUAACUUCUAUAAUCGCCAUAUACUCUGUCUCCAUUGUAGACAAAGUCACCAUUGACUGCAAAAUAGACUUCCAACUAACUGGUGUUUUGGCAAACGUGAACAAGUAGCCAGUUAUCGAACGUCGCUUAUCCAAGUUACCUACAUAAUCAAAAUCACAAUAUCCAAUUAUACAUUGACCAAGUGAUUUAUCCUGCUCAAAUACUAAUCCAACAUCUACAGUAUCUUGGAUAUGCCAUAGAAUUCAUUUUACAGUUUGCCAAUGACCCUUGCCUGGAUCAUGCAUGAACCUGCUAACCACACUAACUGCCUGUGAAAUGUCGGGUUUCGUACACACCAUUGCAUAUAUCAAUCUACCAACUGCAUUAGCAUACAGGACAUUCACCAUGUAUGCUCGAUCUUCAUCCGUUUUUGAAGAUAAUAAGCUACUAAGUUUCAAAUGAGUAGCAAGCAGAGUACUUACAGGUUUUGAAUCUCCAUUCAUACCAAAAUAUUGUAGUAUUUUGUUCAAAUCUGCUUCUGUAUCAGACAAAACUUGCCUCUCGUUCUAUCCCUGCUUAUUUUCAUGCCGAGAAUCUUCUUGAUUUCUCUCAAAUCCUUCAUUUCGAACUCUUUACUCAACUGAGCCUUCAAUUUGUCAAUUUUAACUUGAUUUUUUGACGCUAUCAACAUAUCAUCAAAUAUAAGAAUAAAUAGAUAUAUGACUCAUCUCGUAGCUUGUGCAAAUACACAUAAUGAUCGUAUUUGCUUCUUGUGUACUUUUGACCCAUCAUGAACUGAUCAAAUCGUUUGUACCAUUGCCUCAGUGAUUGUUUCAAUCCGUACAACGAUUUGCUCAACUUACAAACCCAAUAUUCUUUACCAGCAACUUUGAAUCCAUCUGACUGAAAUAUAUAGAUUUUCUCUUUCAACUCACCGUGAAGGAACGCAAUAUUCACAUCAGUUGAGUUAGCUACAAAUUCAACUGCGCUAUCAAGGCCAACAAAAUUCUAAUAGAAGAAUAUUUAACAACUGGAAAAAAUAUCUCAUUAUAAUCAACUCCCUCCUUUGAGCGUAGCCUUUAGCCACUAAUCUUACUUUGUAGCGAAUAUUAUUCUUAUCAGAAAAUUCUUCUUUCUUUGCAAAUAUCCAUUUGCAUCCAAUUGUCUUUUUUCCUUUCGGUAGUUGUGUCAACUUUCACGUCUUAUUUUUCUGAAGAGAUUGCAUCUUUUCUUCUAUAGCAUCUUUCCAUCUACCAUUUUCUGUAUUUUGAACUGCUUCAGAAAAAGUGCAUGGAACAUCAUCAACAACUAGAAGUGCAUAGACUACCAUGUCAGCAAAAUGAGCAGGUUUUUGAAUUUCUCGUAUUGGCAUAUUAACGGCAAUUGACUCUUGUUGCUGUUGAAGUACUUGGGUUGAAACUCUUCCUCAUCUUACUCUUCUUCUGUCAUGGGAGAGUCACUGAUGGUGCUGUUUGCUGGACUCACAAUUAUUUGCUCAAACUCUAUCUGUUUCAAUUUACACUGCUCCUGUUACGGAGUAUCACUGGUCCCAUCUUGUAUUACCUUAUUCAACAUGAUAGAUUCAUCAAAGGUAACAUCCUUGCUGAUAAUGAUCUUCUUUGUUUUUAGACAUCAUAACCGAUAUCCCUUAACUCCAGUAUUAAAACCCAUAAAGAAAGACUUCUUUGCUCGUGGAUCCAAUUUUGAUUCAUUUACAUAAUAAUAUGCAGUAGAACAAAAAAUACGCAAAGAAUCAUAAUCUGUUGCAGAUUUUUUAAAUUAUAUCUCUAAUGGAGUCUUGCCACCUAUUGUAGAUGAUAACAAGCGAUUGACGAGAUGUUGAGCGUAUGUCACAGUCUCAACCUAAAACUUUCUGCUAAUCCAGCAUUAGACAGUAUGCAGCAUACUUUCUCCACUAGUGUUUUGUUCAUACACUCUGACAUUCCAUUUUGCUGCGGUGUUCUUCUAAUUGUGAAGUGUCGAACUAUGUCAUACUCUUGGCAUAUUUUCUGGAAUGGAUCACUUUUGUAUUCUUUACCGUUGUCUGUUCGGAGAAUCUUAAUCUUUUUUCCCGUUUGAUUUUCAAUCUGAGCUUUCCAUUUAAGGAAAAUUCCUAACACUUCAUCCUUGUGCUUCAGAGUAAACACCCAAACACUUUUGAAAAAUCAUCAACAAAAAUGACAAAAUAGUACCUGUCUCCAAGGGAUGGAGUCUUGGCAUACCUCCACACAUUUGAGUGUACAUAAUCCAAAAUACUCUUGGUAUUAUGCAUGCCAGUGCCAAAUUUCACUCUUCUUUAUUUUUUCAGAAUACAAUGCUCACAAAAUUCUAAUUUGUAAACUUUCGUACCUUUCAAUAAUGCUUGUUUGGCAAGAUUUUGCAAGAAUUUUUCACCAGUAUGUCCCAAUCGCAUGUGCCACAACUUGGUUGCCUCCUUGUCCUUCUUGUUACUGGAAGAUGUUGUUGCUGUUGCUGUUCCAACAACUGUACUACCUUGGUAGUAGUACCGAUUAUUCUUCCUCACACCUUUUAACAUCACAAGUGUUCCCGAAAUUAUUUUAAGAAUUCCAUCUCGUAUCUUCAUUUUCAAGUCUUUUGACUCCAAGAGUCCCAAGAAAAUGAGAUUCCUUUCUAAAUUCGGCAUGUACCAAACAUCUUUUAAGAUUCUAAUGAAUUCAUCAUGAUUACGCAGCUUGAUUGAACCUAUCCCAUCUGUUUUACAUGAAUUGUUAUUUUUCAUGUACACGACUCCACCAUCAAGUUUUUCAAAUUCAAAGAACCAAUCCCGCAUGGGAGGCAUAUGAUAGGUACAAAUUGAAUGCAAAAUUCAUUCAUCUAGAUGGGAUGUUAAAAUUGAUACAGCCAAAGAGAAAUCUGAUUCCGUAUCAUUUUUAUAUUCUGCAAUAUUUACGUCUUGCAGAACUUUUCCUUUUUUCUUUAACUUUGGGCAGUCUUUCUUCCAGUGCCCUUUCUCAUGACAGAAAGCACACUUAUCUUUUAACAACUUUACUUAUCGAUUUGGAUCUUGCUCUUCUCCCCUUUGAUUGGCUUUGUUGACGAUCUCUUGCCACUAAUGCUACAUUUGCUAUAGCUAUUUUCUUUUUUAUUUUAUCCUAUUUUCUCAAUUCAUGACUAUACAAAACAGAACAUACAACAUCUAAAGACACAUUCUUCUUUCCAUGAAGUAACGUAGUUUCUAAAUAUUCAAAUUCAUCAGAAAGGGAUGACAACAACAUCAAAACUAAAUCUUCAUUUUCAAAUUUCACAUCUAAAUUUUACAGGUCUGCUACUAAUUGAUUAAAUAUAGUGAUGUGUUCAUUUAUAAUAGUACCUGAUUGGUAAUCGAAUCGGAACAAUAUCUUCUUCAUAAGGAGUUUAUUCUGACCACUCUUCUUUAGAAAUUUUUCCUCCAAUACUCUCCACAAUUUUCAUGCAGAAGUCUCGUUCAUGAAAGUAUAUUUUUGCUCUCUGGACAAAUAUGAUCAAAUAGUUUUGUAUGCCAACCGAUUUAUGGUACUUCAUUCCUUUCUUUUAUGUCAUCUGAUUUCUUUUCUUCAAUGCCAAUGUCAAAAUCCUGUUGGAAAAGGGAGUCUAUGACCUCGCCUUGCCAUAUGUCGAAAUGGUCAGUACAGUCAAAUAUCUCUACCGCUAGCGUCGAACUUGACAUUGGAGUUCUCGAUCAUGUGGGCGAGGAAACCAAUAUCCCAGAUGUAAUUCUUGACGUAGAAUUGUCAGAUGCCAUUACAGACUCACAUGAUUGUAUUUAAUAUAAAAAAUUACAAACAGACCAAAGGACGAAUCUGACUCUGAUACCACUUGUUAGAAAAAUCAGAUAAUUUUUCACUCAAAUUUAACUAGUGAUUAAAUCGAUUCGAUACUUUUCAGGAAAGAUUGUCAAAAUAAUCUCUUUAGACAGAAUUAUAAUUUCAAGUAAAUUUUCAGAAAAGACUGGAGGGGUCAUAAACGGUCCACUUAAUAUCCAAUCUCCUAUGACAGAAUUUAUGUGCACGGUGUAUUAUCACAAUUAGACCCGUGUAUAUAUAAAUAUUACGUACACACGAAUAAGAAAAAUAUACCCAAAUGAACCGUAUAAAACACUACAAAUAAAUCCAACAAAUAUAUUGAAUACUAUACUACAAUAAAAAAAAACUACUAAAUAAAUGUGAAAUAAAUAAAAGAGAUAAAGAAAGAACGCACUCGAAAAAUGUAUAACGGAGUUUGAUAUUAAGAACGCACCAGACAGUUCUUAAGUUUGAUAUUAGGUUAUAUGCAUUAUUUGUGCGGUAACAUUAGGUUUUGGGAUUAAUUCGAAAACCCUAAGUUGGAGUUAGUAUUGAAACCCUAGUUUUAUAAUUAUAAGUUCGAGCGGUGAUUAAAGCUAGUUAUGUUAGUGUGUGUUUUAGUACAGGUACGUAUAAGAUUUGAUCCAUUUUAGAUAGGUUAAGUAAGUUUAAAAGUUAAGAAAACCCUAAACUAGAAAAGUUUCUAAGUUUAAAACCCUAAUUUUUGCCAUUGACAAAAGGUUGUUAUUUAAUUGCUUUUAUAUGGGAUAAAGUAUGUUUAAAUAUAGGUGAUUAAGAUAUGAAAGUGAUUAGUGAAUUAAUUAAGUGUGAUUACAUGUUUUGGACUAGAUUAAGUUAUGACCUAUGGAGUUAAUUGAAAGAGUUCCAAAUGUUUGAGGGCAAGAGUGGAACAAAAGCUAAGUAGAGGUGCAAGGGCUAAAAAGUAAAUAAUGGAUUUUAGUGUGAUUGGUUGCCAUAAAAAAAUAUCUCUCCUAAGUGGGUUUGGACCAUAUAUUAAUUCAUGAGUCACAACUAAGCCAUUAUAUGACCAAAACAAAACAAACAAAUUAGAGAAAAAGAGAGAGAAUGAGCCGUGGAGUAGGAGAAGGAAGACCAAAGGGAAGUUUGCAAAGUUCAAUCCAUUUCCUUUCAUAAAUCUUCAUUUUGUAGCAUAAAGAAUCCACUUUGGAGAUGGUUUAAGGUCAUUAGCCAUCAUACAUACUUAAUCUUGAGGUAAGAAAGUCUAUUUGAAGACUUAAGUUGAUUAUUGAUUGAUGAACUAGUGGCUAUUUUUGGUAAGGGAUCUUAGUUGUGCUUGAUUAUGGUACCUCUUAUGUUUAUCAUUUGUUGUUAUGGAUCAAUUUGGUGAAAAUUUGGGCCUUGAGGUUCGGCCAUAUGGACCCUCAUAAGGGUUGCAUGUUAAACAUGUGAGUUAGCUUUAAUCUUGUGUUAUUGAACUUGUUAUGGUUGUGUUUGAUGAUGUAUUUUAUUUGUUUGGUGAGUGGGUGGUAGAAAUUGAUUUGGGGUUAAGAAACCCUAGGCUAAAGUGAGGAGUAAUUGCUUGGUUAGGAUUAAUUUGGUUAGGGUUUGUUGCACUAAUGGUUAGAUUAAGUUAAUGAGUGCAUAUGAAGUUCAAUUAGAAGGUGUAGAUAAUAUGUGGUUAGUUUGUGGAAAUUGUAUGGUGCAAUUUCGGAUCAUUGGAAGCCUUCAUAGGAGUUGGUUUAGGGUGUGUAUUUGGUUUGCAUUUAGCUAGAAAACCUGCAUAACAAUCAUAGAACGGACCAUGCAUUUGCGACGCGCAAAACCGGCAAAUCCGGGUAAACAGGGCAGCCCAGAACCUGAACUUGAGCUCCAUUUUUCGUGAUACUACGUAUUGAUUCAGAAGUUUCUCGAAACAUGAAAGUUGUAGCCCUUUCUCGUAGCUUCGAAACGGUGUCUCAUCCACCUUGAUCCGAUAUUCGUAUCCUAACUUUUGAUCAAAACAGUUUGAGAUGGCAGUUUUGGCCUUUUCCGUUUGCUGUUCUGCGCGCGCGCGUGUCUAUUUUGCCGUUUCCGCACUUGCAUGUGCCGAUUUUGCCGUUUUGCUUAUUUUGGGCAUGUUAGUGGCCGUUUGUGAUAUAAUGAGAUGCAAUCCUCUAUUUCAGACCGUGGUGAGUUAGGCGGAGCCGGUGGGGCCUACUAGCUAACACGUACGAAGUGAUUUCUACUCUUACUACUUUUGUGUUUUGAGUAAGUAUUUAGGUCAUUCUUAUGCGUUAGUUGCUUAUGUGUUAUGAUUUGUAUGAAAAGGGUACCUAGGCGAGGGUGUAUUUUAUCGCACUUGACCUAAACCCUAAUUUGCUCACGUAUUUGUACAUAGCAUAUGUAUAUGAACCAUUUUGGAACUAAAACCCUCGAACUUGUAGCUUGGGGUGACUUUUGGGUAAUUUUGUGAAGUUUGUGAGUUUGAGGUCGCGUUUCAAGACCUAGAUGGACUAUUCGAACCGGUUAGGGCUUGGUCGAAGUCACUCCAGCCUAGUCUGAGGUCACCAAAUUGUGAAUUCGGUUCACCGUGCAUGUGAACCAAGUUUAUGAGCCGAGCUUGUGAACCAAGCUCACUUUCGUUCGCUCAAGCAAGUUUGUGAGGUGACUGGCCAGUGAGGGUGAUAAUGUGUUAGGUGGGAGUACAAGUGGAGUUCUACGGACCUUGUUUAUGAUCGACGGAGUGUCGACAGGAGGUCACGCAUGGCAAACGACUUGGCUUUGGAGCCAACCUGUAUCUUUCCUUUGUAUUGUUACUUUUGCACUUGACUUGACACUUUUGUGAAAUAGUUGUUUAUCUAACUGUGAAAUUUAUGAUUUUACCCCUGUUUACUUACUAAGCAUAUAGCUUACCCGUUUCUUUUGUUUUCCUUAGCAGGGGACGACACGGGGAACGCCUGAGUAUAUUCACUAGUAUAGUUAGGUAUGCUUGUAAUAGUUAGACAAUUAAGAUGUAUGUUUUUGUUUUGGUGGUUUGUAUAAGGACCCUCCAGGGUCUACUUCCUGCUGUUUGUUAUCACACUGUAGUAUAGUGUUUGACCAGAUACUUUUGAAGAUGUAAAUAGAACUUUUGGCGAUUGUAUAUAUUAUAAAUAGUACCCUUUCGUUUAUUAUAGUUUUAUUAGUUUUGUGUUUCGAGUCCUGCGCGAGUUAGGCAGGCGUCCCGCCAAUACCCUAGGGUUUGCCCUUGGGAGAAGCGAGGGCGUCACAGGUAGUUAGUUUUCUGUAUAAUCAAACCACCAUAAAAGUAAAAUCAAUGGAUGCAUCCACCGAAUGGAGGAAAGCAGGUAGUUUAAAGGUUUUGAAGAGUUGGCGUGCUAUGGCAGUGUGUUCAUCAACACACAUUUUUUUUCCAUAGACAUCGAUUCAUUCCUGUUGUUUUUCUGUUUUUCUGGCAUAAACCAUGUGGCAUCAGUAAUAAAGUCUCUACUGUUCUUGUUGUCCUUGAAAUUUCUAUAAUUUUAUACGGUAAACAUACAGAACUAAAGAGAUCCAUUUACCAAUCUACAAGAAUUCUUGUCGCAUGGUUACAAGACUGCAAAUUAUUGCCUUUUUGAAUGUCAAAAUUCUUUUUCAAUAUAUGAUUUUUUAACCUUCCACCUCUCUCCACAAAUCUUUGUACUCAUAACUGUCAAAUUCAGGAUUUGAAUUUUAAACUUUAUAGCAAAAAGAACUUAAAAGAACUCUAAGACCCCUUUCUUAUCCACUGGCUAAUCCAAGUGAUUGCUGCAUCAAGGUAAAUGUAAAAAAGGAAAUGGGAUUACUCACAUUGCGCAAGUGCUUUAAACUAUGUUGAGGUCAGUAAUACAUGGCACUGUCAAACUAUUGAUGAGCAAAGCUGCAGUGCUGAAUUGGAGAAAUAUGAGGUCCAAGUCCAAAACAAGCAAACUCUCCAACUACAUUUUGUCUCGAAAAAACUCAUGACAUGAGAUUAGUAACUUUGUUGGAAGACAUUCAUCAAUUAAGAUUGUUGUUUCAAAUGUGCUCCUUGUAUUUAGUUAGUAAGAACAUAAUCAUAUUUGUAGUAGGAUUAGCUCAUAUGCCUUAGGUAUAAUUCAAGAUGAGACUGAUUGUAUAGCUCUAUUGAGCCUUUGCUCGCAAUUGUACAGUUUUGACAAUCUAUAAGAAUCGUUUUGACAAAAAAAAAAGAGUAAUACAAUGCACAUCCAUCUUCAUAAGGAAACUUAUUGUCAUUUUUCUUGUAAAAUCCCCUUUUUAAUCUUUAUUUAAAGGUUCACGAUAGUUUAAAAUACUUAGUGAAAAUCUAAUGUCAAAUUAACAAGAGUAAUCUAUUAGCUAAAUCAGCAAUUCUGCAAGCAAUGGAAGGAUUGCAUUUAAAUUAACUUAAUAUGCCUGUGAAGGUUCCUUAAAAUAAAACCAAUGGAAGGGUUGUGAUUACUGCUUUGCUAGCAAGGCAACUAUGAGAAUAUAGAAAAAUUUACCUGCAAGAUGUCACCAAUCUUAGUAGAGGUUGAAUUGUUAGGCAAAAACUUCAAAUUACUGAAAAUUAUAUUUUAAGUGUCAAGCAAAUGUAUUCAUUGUGUUUUGUAUAUCAUGCAGCUACUUAUAGAAUUUGGUUUUGACACUUUGUUCUACAUUUUGGAACUACUUUCACAAAUGUAAUUAUCAAUUUCAUAAUUUCUCUCUUAUUAUUCAUAGUUCACAUGAUUGAGAAAAUUGAGAAACAUCAUGGACUAACUACUUGAAUUUCAAUCACUUGUUAUGGAAUUAAACAUCUUUGCAACAUGGGUUAGACAUUCUCAAAUAGUAGAGUUAUUAUUAUUCUCCAUAUAAUAUGCAAGUGUUGAAUAGAUAAAAAAGAAUAAGUAAUUGGCACAAAUGGUAAACUAGAUUUAAUUAAACAACUUCAUGAUAGUAAGAUUUCAAGAGGAUACUUUUAAAACUGAACAUAGAAAAACAGCCAUAAGUAAGUGAAAUGGUAUUUUGAAGUUCUUAAAAUUAAAACUCAAAAGAAACCAAAAAAAGAAAUUCUUGAAAAGAAAAAAUGCAAAAUCAAUAAACCAGGAAAAUAAAUAUAGCCAUUUACAAUUAACACCCUGCGAAUUUAAGUUAGGUACCCAAAAUUUUGCUACAAAAUUUCUAGGAAGUGACCGUUAGUUUGAAAAACAUUUUUGCUUUUAUAAAUUCAAAACAAAGAAAUUGUUGGCGGGUGACAACUAAAUCACCACAGCUCUUCCCGCCAAAUUGUUCAUAUUAUUAAGGUUGGUGUCCUGUUCUAUGUACCGUGCUAUUGGGAUUUUAUAGUACUAAAACAGUCCACUAAAGCUCACCCACACUCGGAAUUUUAUUCAUUUUAAGCGAGUUGACUCAGCUUGUCCGCGUCAAUACAGAUAUUUUCUGGCACCUAAUUCUUAAUAAUUCUUCUGGCCUCUUGUCAAUAUUUGGUUUCUUGUUGAAAAUUUUUCAAUUGUUCAUUUAUUAUUUUCCCAGCAUACGAUUUUGACCCCCAAUUACCAAUGGAAGAGCACAAACUUGAUUUAAAAGAAAUUCAUAAUUUUCAAAAUUUAUCUAUCAUUUUCAAAAUUGUAAUUUAAACUGAGUGAUAUUACUGCUACAUAUUUGUCAUGUUGUGGAUAUUAGGGAAAAAAUUAUUUUUGGAGAAAAAUUAUAGAUAAUAAAACAUGAAAUUGAUGCUAACAUUUUUUUUUGUCAUCAAAGAUGAUGUUAAUUGCUUACAUUUUUAUAGAGGAGGUAAGCAGGAGGUUUCAACUUCAAAAUCUUCCACUUAUAAAAAAAUAAAAAAAAACUAUAAUUAGACAAAUUAAAAAAAUUUUCAAUCAAACAAGCUUAGAACAAAUAACAUAAAUAAACUUUAUUUAUUCCUUAGAGUGAAAUUCAAUUUGUAUUUGUCUUAUUAUCUUUUCUAAGUAACAGUGAACGUAUAGUGCAAAAAAUUAGAUAAAGUAUUCAUUUACAUAAGUGUAUAAGUAAAAAUUAAUUUCUUACAUUUUCUUUUAAGAUAAGAUGAGUAAUUCCCUAUUUAUUUUUAUAACCAAAAAAGUAAAAACAUGUAGAUAUACAACCAGAAAUCUAGACCCAGAUCUUCUUCAAAGGUACAAUUAAGUUCAAACUUUUAUUGAAUAGUUUUCUUUUAAAUUAAAUUAUAGAAAAAAUCGUUGAUAAUAAUGAAAUAAAUGUAAAAUGAAAAUCCUCGGGACCGACUCAGGCAAGCGAGUCACAACUCACGAGUGGCCAGGUGGGAUUCGCCCUGGUUUCCAUCAGCCCAGUAGGCAACAGAAAUAUAAAAGAAAAAAUGAAACACAAAAUAUGGUAGAAAAAAUCAUCAAAUACUACUCAAAUACUACUACUACUACUCAAUAGACCCAGAGAGAGAGACCCCAUCGCCCUCAAUCCCCCAAUUCACCAUUAUAAUUGAGCACUUCUUACCAUAAAUUACAAGAGUGGUUCAGGUUUUCCUCUAUCUUUUAGGGCUCUAUCCCGAAAUCUCAAUGGCGGCGAAUCAUCUCAGAGCAAAGGUACGAUUUCGAUUUUCCCAUAUAACAUUUGUGUCAAAUCGAUUGACUGAAGCUUCAAGAUAUCCUUAAUAUUUUUUUUUUUGAAUUUCUGAUUGAUGGUUUUAAUUUGAUUUAUUUGCUAUGGAAUGAAGCCCUAAGCUUCUGAAUUUGGAUUUGGUUUUUGUGGUUGUUGUUCUUGUGGUUGUAUAGGUUUGAUUGGAAGCUAGAUGGUUUCUGUUUGUUACUGGAAAAAGGGAGGGCACCUCGAAACCCUAGAUAGGUUUUGCUGGGAUUUGUGGUGGAUUCAUUUGGGAGUUGGUUUGGAUUUGAUUGAGGAUUGGAAAUAAGAUGGAGGAUGCGGAAGUUAGAUUGGAGAGGAAAAGGGGGCGGAAAAGGAAGAGAGUUGAUGUUCAGAAUGUGGAAAUGGAUGUAGAUGGGAAGAAGAGGGCAGUGGUGACACGGUCGAAGAGGCUGGUGGGGUGUUAUGUGAGGAAGGAAUUCGAGGGGAGUGGGUUUUAUUUGGGGAAGGUUGUUUCGUAUGAUAUGGGGUUGUAUAGGGUUGAUUAUGAGGAUGGGGAUUGUGAGGAUUUGGAGAGUGGUGAAGUGAGGAGCUUUUUGAUUGAUGAGAGUGAAAUAGACGGUGAGUGGAUGGAGCGCAAAAAUAAGUUGGAUGCUUUAUUGUUGCAUAAAGACAAGGAUGUAGAGGCAAUUAAUGAAUUGAAAACCGAGAAUGCGGUCCCAUUAGAGUCUGCAAAUGUCGUUGCCAAUGCUCAGGUCAAAGAAACGUCUGCAGUUAGCGAGUUGAUUAAUGCUAAUUGUGAUGCUGAAAUUGAGGGCGUUCAAAUUGAUUAUGAUGCUAAUGUUGACUCAGUGAGUGAUUCCUGUGAGGAUGAGGAAAUCAGUUCAGAGGUGGAAGUGCCGGUUGUUCCGCCACCAGAGCUGCCUCCCUCUUCGUGGAAUAUUGGGGUUCCAGCAGAGGAUGUGUCACACCUUCUUUCCGUAUAUAGUUUUCUGCGCUCGUUUAGUAUUCAGCUGUUUUUGAGUCCCUUUGGACUGGAUGAUUUUGUGGGAUCACUCAUCUGUUCUGCUCCGAACACAUUGUUGGACUCUGUCCAUGUAGCUCUCAUGCGUGUUUUGAGGCAUUAUUUCGAAAAGCUCUCACUGGAUGGUUCGGAGCUCGCAUCAAAGUGCUUGAGGUAAUUGAAUUUCAUCUUUUUCUGAAAAAUUAAUGGGUUAUGAAUGUAUUUGUUGGUAAGUUAUGUACUAGAGGCAACCACUACCGAUCUUGUGGCCAUCACAUACUGAUUCAGUUCUUGGUUCCACUGCACAGUCAUACCAAUACUGAUGCAGAUAUCUAAUUUUCCACGUACUAGAUUUCCUGAUACUUUAUAUCAUCAGCAUCCAGUAUCAUUUACUGCUCUGUUCUGGUAAGCAAGUAUUGCCUGAUUAGGAGUUGUUAAAAGAUAUUGUUAUUAAUAACCAUGAAUCCUGUUAGAAUUUCCAAGCUAAUUGUUGUGCGGUCGUUUUCAGCAUUUCUUUGUGCAUUGACUAUGAUAAUGGUAAGUUUGAGUUGUGAUAGAUCUGAGAAAUGAAAGCACUGAUCACCGCUUUAAGCAAUCUUAAUUUUCUUAUGAUGUAUGGUAAGAUGCAGUUCUUUUAUAACAUGGCUAAUUUAGGUUACUUUUCUUGCUUGCAGAGGCAUGGAUUGGAGCUUGCUAGAUACAUUGACCUGGCCUAUUUAUCUGGUUCACUAUUUAAUGGUGAUGGGCUACACAGAUGGUCCCGAAUGGAAAGGAUUUUUUAUCCAUGCACUGGAGAGAGAAUAUUACACUUUAUCUGCUGGUAAGAAGCUCUUGAUUUUGCAAAUCUUGUGUGAUGAUGUUUUAGAUUCUGAGGAAUUAAGAGCAGAGAUUGACAUUCGCGAAGAAUCAGAAGGGGGAAUAGAUCCAGAUACGGGAAUGGUUGUUGCUCCCGUGGCUGGACCAAGAAGAGUUCAUCCUAGAAAUUCCAAAACUUCUGCUUGUAAAGGUCAAGAAGCAAUGCAAAUUAUUGCCCAAAGUCGUGAAAUGAAGUCAUUUUCCAACUCUGGUAAUUUGGGGUUGAGUGUUCAGGGACAAGAUGGUAUUUCGGAUAUGGAUCAGGAUGGUAAUGGCGAUGAAUGCCGUCUUUGUGGCAUGGAUGGGACCUUGCUUUGUUGUGAUGGGUGCCCAGCAUCUUAUCAUUCCAGAUGCAUAGGAGUGUGCAAAGUGUUCAUACCAGAAGGGCCAUGGUAUUGUCCCGAGUGUACAAUAAAUAAGGUAGGGCCAAGAAUCACAAAGGGAACCACAUUAAAAGGAGCCGAAGUAUUUGGUGUUGAUGUCUAUUCUCAAGCAUUUAUCGGUGCUUGUGAUCAUUUACUUGUGUAUGUACUUGUUCCUUAUCUGGAUUGCUUUUCUUUCGUUUAUUUUUAAAUGCUAAUGAAUUUUCUUAAAGCUUCAUGUUUAUGAUUAACAUUGAAUUCUCAGGCUAAAUGCUUCAACAAAUUUACAUUCCUGCGCAAGAUAUUACAGUAAAAAUGAUAUUCCAUGUGUCCUUCAAGCACUUCUUUCAAGUGUGGAGCAUAUUGUUAUGUACAAGGAAAUAUGCAAGGCUAUCAUCCAGUAUUGGGAAAUUCCAGAAGACAUCAUUUCAUUUACUGAAACAUCUGAAAUUGCUGAUCAUCAGUUAGCAGAAGAGCAUCUUAAUUGCACCAUGCCAUCAUCUGUAAUGCCAUUGGGCUUGGUAAGUCAUAAUGUUCCAGAGACACUCCGAAGUGAGGAUACUUCAAGCUGUAUUUUUGGUGCUAAUUCAGGAAACAUGAACAAGGCCUCUUUGAGUGCAGUAACAUCUGAUCAUGCUGUUCAACAGGGAAAUGGAGAUGCAUCUAUAGAAACAGUUGGCCCUCAAAUGAAUAUCCCUGGGGAGGUUCAAGUGAAAUACACUGUGUUUCCAGGUUCUCUUGACCAGGGGACUGUUCAGUCUGAUUUCAUGUCAAGAGAAAAGUCAGGCCCAGAGACUGCUACAUGUAUGUCAACAAAUAUGUUUGGUAAUUGCAGGGACUACGUGAGUGGACCUUAUGUGACACCUAAACUUGCUGUUGCCCAUAAACACAUCAAGAUCAGGGUUGGUAAAAGUUUCCAUGGUACAGAAAAUGCUAUCUCAUACAUGGGAUCUUCCUUUAAAACCCAGGGAUAUGUCAAUAACUAUCUACAUGGAGAUUUUGCUGCAUCAGCUGCUGCUAAGCUGGCAGUUCUUUCAUCUGAAGAAAACCAGGUUUCUGGGUCUCACUCAUCAGAUCGUCGGAAACUUAUUUCCGCUAAUAUAUCACUUCAAGUAAAAGCAUUUUCGUCAGUAGCUACGCGCUUUUUCUGGCCUCAUACAGAGAAAAAGCUCAUUGAAGUACCAAGGGAAAGGUGUAGUUGGUGUUUUUGUUGUAAAGCUUCUGUUUCGAGCAAAAGAGGGUGCUUGUUGAAUGCAGCUGUGGCAAAUGCCAUAAAGGGUUCUAUGAAGAUUUUUGCUGGUCUUCGUCAUGCAAAGAGUGGAGAGGGAUGUCUUCCUGGAAUUGCUACAUAUAUUAUGUUCAUGGAGGAGAGUCUAAGUGGUCUAACUGUCGGCCCCUUUCUAAGUUCAGCAUUUAGAAGACAAUGGCGCACACAAAUGGAGCAUGCUAAUACCUGUGGUGCAUUAAAGUUACUUUUACUUGAGGUCUCUCUCUCUCUCUCUCUCUCUGUUUGUGUGUCUUUGUGUCUGUUUGUGGCCCCCUUAUACAAGUCAUUGAGUUACUACCUCUACUCCAAGCAAUUUAGCCAUUUAUUUAUUUACAUUGUGGAUCAUGUUUAUCUACUGGUUUUGCUAAGUGGACUUUCUGACAAUUGCUUACUCUUUCCAACCCCUUAUCCACAGUUUAAGUUAACCUGCUAUGCAAAGAGUAGUGGUUUCACUUAAUGUCGUGGAGUAUUUUCAUUUGCCUGGUGUAUUGAAAUCUUUUCCUUUUUGGUUGAGGUAUUGAGGUUUUACUUUAUUUACUAAAGAAAAGAAAGGGCAAAAGUUUUUUACUUGACGGUUUAGAUAAGGAAAGUUUGUAAAAUAUGGAAGUUACAUUCUCAAAUAAAUGGUGCAGUAGUGAGUGCUCAUUAAUCUGGCUUUAGAUGAGCCUGAUUUUCGUCUGACUUCUUAAUUGCUGCUGUGUGAGUUAUUUGCAUUUUCUAUCUAUUAUAUUUCUGCAUUUAGCUGAUUUAACAGGUUUAUUUCAUUGCACAAAAGGUUAACAUACUUAUUCAUACAUUGGGUAAGGUAGGUUUCAGAGUGAGAAUCAAAUAUUUCGUGGUGGUUGAUGGUUUUGUUGCUCAUGAGUGAAUUGGGGAUUCUGUUCUCUAUUUCCAUUUCCCUUCCCCUCCCACAUCUUUCUUCCCGCCCCUGCCCCGCUAAAAGAGUUGAAGAAAAAUCAAGUUUUAAGAAUAGACUAGCCUUUUCCUUUUGCCAUUUAUGGCUUUAAAAGCCUGUUAUUGUUAUGGCUGGUGCUGGUGUUGUUCCAUUAGAUACUUUGUCUCAGCAACUCAUAGGUUUUGUACCUUCAUUCAUAUUGUGCUGUUUUUGAAUGUCUAAACUUGAUGUUCCAGUUACAUUAAGACUGUAAUUUUUUUGCAGCUUGAGGAAAAUAUUCGUACCAUUGCUCUUUCUGGGGACUGGGUUAAGCUUGUUGAUGGUUGGUCAGCUGAGUCUUCUGUCACUCCAAAUGCUGUUAAUGCUUCUGGAUCCACUCAGAAACGUAGACCAGGGAGACGUGGAAGGAAAACAUCUGUCAUGACGGAAGUUACUGCGGAUGAUAGCCAGGACAUAUUGGCUGACUUUACUUGGUGGCGAGGUGGUAAGCUGACAAAGCUUUUAUUACAAAAAGGGGUUCUGCCUCGCAUACUGGUGAAGAAAUCUGCACGUCAAGGUACUGAAAGUUUUUUUGACUCUUCCAUGGAAACUUGAACUGCUUCUAUUUUCAUUUUCCUAUUUGAUCUGUGUUACUCUUUUAUAAACAUAAAUCUAGUUGUCAUGGCAAGGAGUAACUAACACAUUUUGGAGUAGCAGGUGGUUCAAGAAAAAUACCUGGCAUUUACUAUGUUGAAGCAUCUGAUACUCCUAAAAGAAGCAGACGACUUGUUUGGCGAGCUGCUGUUGAGAUGAGCAAGAAUAUUUCCCAGCUUGCACUUCAUGUUUGUUCUCUUCUCAACCUAUUCUGCUCUUGGGUGCAUUUAUACGUGCCCUUCAUUUUUUUCUUUGGUAUUUUUUCCAUCAUCAGAAUGUUAUGAGCUAGUGUGUUUUGGAUGGUUUUUACUUUUCAGACUGCCUUUAAUUCAUGAAAUUGACUCUUGUAACAGGUUAGGUACCUAGAUUUUCAUGUGAGAUGGAAUGAUCUUGUUCGCCCAGAGCAGAAUAUUCAGGAUGUAAAAGGCCCAGAAACAGAGGCUUCUGCUUUUAGAAAUGCUUAUGUUAGUGAUAAAAGAGUCAUUGAUAAUGAUGCUACAUAUUGUGUUGCUUUUGGGAAUCAGAAGCAUCUUCCUUCUCGUGUGAUGAAGAACAUAAUUAAAGUGGAGCAAACCCAAGAUGGAAAGGAGAAAUAUUGGUUUUCGGAGACACGCAUUCCCUUGUAUUUGAUCAAGGAGUUUGAAGAAAAUGCAGCGAAAGUUCUGAUACAAAAAACAGACAAGCCCGUAAAUGCAACUGUAAACUUGCAAAGGAGGAGGUUGAAAGCUUUCCGGAAAGAUGUAUUUUCUUAUCUUGCACGAAAGAGGGAUACUAAGGAUAUGUGCUGUUGUGCUUUGUGUAAACAAGAUGUUUUAAUGGGGUAAUUCUUCUGCAUAUUCCUAUUUUCUUUUAGUUCUUUUACUAUUUGUCAAUUAAUUGAGGUUUUCUUUAUCUUUUAUGCACAGGGAUGCUGUCAAGUGUAGUGUUUGCAAAGGUAUUACAAAAUACUUUUCUGUAUUUUAUGACUUUUUUAGCAAGUUAGAAAGUUAUUAUGCCUUUUACUUUCUUGUUUGUCGGGUUCAAGUUUUUGAAGAUAAUGAGAGCCUUGUUAUGGUUCAAUUCGUCGCCAGCGAUUUUACCCAUACCCACAAUCCCAGAAAAAAAAAGAAUGAGAAAAAAAAAAAGAGUAGAGGGCUAAAGUCAUGGAGAAAAGUAGGAAAGGAAGAUGUUGAAUGAAAGGCUGAAGUUUUAAUAGCACAUCUAGCCUUCCAUCCCUAUAUGUAGGGAAAAGAUGAGCUUUAAUAUGGACAUGUAGGGAUGGUAACAAUUAAUUUGGCAGAUAUGUCCUCUUAUACAUGCCUAUAAUCAAACUAUUAUCAGCUUCGUGAGAAUCUUGAAAUGCUAUUAGCAUAUGUGUUUUACAUGCUCCUUGGGAAUCUUGAAAUGCUAGUUUCACAUGUUUUACAUUGUUAAACUUUAAGGAAAGUGACCAACUGUAUGCAUUUUGACUAAGUCUUUAAUUUAUUAGAACUGCAAUGUUUACCAGAUUAUAUUUCUGUCAUGCAAUCUUACUUCUAUGAUAAAAGUGUCACUUGUGACAUUCAAGGACUCUCUCACUAAUUUCACUGUCUAAUAAAGUACCGUGCCACUCUCUCAGUCUUUACCCAAUUUACACAUGAGACAAACUUGUUACCAGAUUGCUCUUCCUAAAUUAUCACUCUGGUCAGAAUUGAUCUCAUUAUCUCUCUCUAGUCAAGACAUUGUGUCUUAACAGAAAGGGGAAUUACUAAUUUUCUUCAAAAAGUUUCUCCUCAAAUUCUACCUGGGAACUGUUAUUUACCAUUCCUUUUCCCCCUGUUCUCGGAUCUUCUUGGACAGUUUUCUUUUCAACUUUCUUGUUGUUUUGUAAUUGUGAAAUCAAUUUACCUAUGUACAAAACAAAGAACCUAGAAUGUAUAUUCUGCCUAGUUUGGAAGUUUAAGAGAGUUCUUUUGUGCCGGACAAUAUUUUCAAUUUUUUUGGAAAAUUUGCAGCCUUAGUUUUUAUUGGACUGGAAUAUGGAUAAAGUUUGCUUUGAAAAGCUUCUUUUUCUGCCUUCUGUGGAAACAAAUGACCAUUUGCUUCCUGUUUCUGCCAUUGGAGUGAAGAAUGCAGAAAGGGCUUUCCUUUGAAAGCAUUGCUUUUGGAUUUAGAUGUAUCUUCUGUUCCUGACAAAAUGCUACAAAGGUGUUUUCUUUAAAGCUUUAAAGUUCUAUAGAUAUUUUGGAGAACACAAAAUUUUAAAAAUACAUUGACAGUGCAAAACAUUUGGAAAUUGUUGGAAGUUGUUUGAAUCAUAUUAGAAAGUUUUGUUUCUUUUUGUUGGAUACUGUAGUUGAGCUUCAGACUUUCUAUGGCAAUAUCUGGCUGGCUUGUCCCUUAGUUUGUUAGAAAUGUAUUUGUUGUGAACUUUUAUGUUCUUUCCUUUCAGGGUAGAGAACUGAUUUAGAUAAAGAAAUGUGCCAUACAUGCACCCUCAGCUUGUCGAUGAUGCGUUUCCUAUGACUCCACAAUUUUUUGCAUGUGGCUGAAUUUAUGAUAAAUUAACUAUCUUUUGACAUCCAAGCUAUUUCAGAUGCUUGCCUGUGCAUGCAAAGUAAAACAUUAUUGGUCAACCUAUUUCAGACGUUAAUCAUGUCAUUUAAUGUCUGUUUUCCAUUAUCCUUGGGUUAAUUUUGUUUAUUCUUAGAUGCAAUGUGAUUUUAAACCAGCAAAAAGCGAGAGGCUCUGAAUAUGAACACCUCUAGGACCACCUUUGGUUUCGUAUAGACAUGUACUUAUUGAGAAAUAUAUAUAUUUUUUGGUUGGCAAGUUUGGCCCUUCUCAUUCUAUUCUGGAAUUUAUUAACUAAAAACUUGACAAUUUGGUACAGGUGCCUGUCAUGAGCAGUGUACUGUAAGUUCAACAGUUCACAUCAAUGAGGAAGUUGAAUUCCUGAUCAUUUGCAAGCAGUGCUACCACUCUAAAGCUCUGAGUCAAACUGAAAAUAAUUAUGAAUCUCCAACAAGUCCUUUACUUUUGCAGCGACAGGAAUUUGCUCCAGUGAUGGUGAGGAAAGCUGAAAACCCAAUUGGUUGUGAUCAGCCAUCAAUGGCUGUCAAAACUGUACAACAUGCUUCAGAUUCAAAAUCAAUUAAUGCCUCUAAAUCCGGAUCCACAAGCAAACGGAAAUUAUGUUCUUGGGGUCUGAUCUGGAGGAAGAAAAAUUGUGAAGACACUGGGAGUGAUUUCAGAUCAAAAAAUAUUCUUCUGAAGGGCAGUAGAGACUUCGGGCUGUCUGGGCCCCUCUGCCACCUUUGUCGUCAGCCAUAUAAUUGUGAUCUAACGUACAUUCGCUGUGAAACUUGCUUAAGUAAGCUCAAUAUACCUAAUGUGUUUCACCUGUCUUUUUGUUACCCUUGGUUUUCUGGAAAAUAACAUUGCUUUGGUCUGUGGUCAUUCUCAGACUGGUAUCAUGGAGAAGCUGUUGAACUCCAGGAGUCAAAGAUUUCCGAUCUGCUGGGUUUCAAAUGUUGCAGGUGUAGGAGGAUUAGAUCGCCUGUGUGCCCUUACUUGGAUCCAGACAGCAAAAAGCAAUUAGAGGAGAAGAAGACACGCAGUAAGCCUGCAAAGCAAGAUGAGAAGGACCCCAGUGUGGAUGUUGUCCCUCAGCAAGUCAAGCUGGAACCUGCUAUGCCUCAUUUGCCUGCAAUGGAACAAGUGGUGUAUGUAGCAGAGGAUGAUCCUCUACUUUUUAAUCAUACGAGAGUUGAGCAGAUAACCGAACAGAACUCUAGUGUUGAUUAUGAGUGGAAUGCUACAAGUGUUUCUGGGUUCGGGCCACAAAAACUGCCUGUUAGAAGGCACAAUAAACGUGAUAAGGAAGAAGAUUGUUCUUUAGCUGGCAAUUCAGCUCAUGAUGACUUGUCAGCUUUUGGAGGAAAUGUCUUUAACUCUGCAGACGAGUCAUUGUCUCAGGUUCAGUGGGAUCCUACUGCAAGUGGCUUUGGUGAUGGUAUGAUGUUCAACUAUGAAGACCUCAGCUUUGAGGAUAUGGAGUUUGAGCCUCAGACUUAUUUUUCAUUUAAUGAGUUGCUUGCAUCUGAUGAUGGUGUUCAACAGGAUGUAGUUGGUUCAGCUGAGGAUGUGGCAGAGAACUGGGAGAAUUCAUCCAUUCUACCAAGCGAUGGGGUUGUUGAUGCAUCUUUCAAUCAGCAAGAACCUUCAAGCUUGGUUAAACAUGCAGUUAAUGCAGUGCCUUGUAGAAUGUGCACUCGUUAUGAACCCUGCCCUGACCUUUGUUGUCAGAUUUGUGGUAUCCUUAUUCACAGUCAUUGUUCUCCAUGGAUUGAGCAGUCAUUGAGGGAUGGUGGCUGGAGAUGUGGUAAUUGUCGCGAAUGGUUUUAGUUGAUCUGCAAUCCAUGUUAGAAUGCUGCUUUGUCCAAUAAGCUCUUACUUGAGGUGGUAGAGUGGAGUAUGCCGAAAGAAAACGCACGCUUAGUGAGCACCAUUAAGAGAAGAAGUCAAAACGGUAAGAAUUCCUGGUUUGGAUCUUUUGGAAGAUGGGAAUUCCCGUCUCAGCAUUGUCCCAUAUAGGUUUUUCAAAAUUAAAGCCCCUAUCAAGUUGAGUUUUGGGGCCAAUAGAGAUAAGCAAAAUAUUUUUUUGUAUGCUUAUCUGAUUUUUGGUUUGGCUGUAUACAACAAUGUUUUAGCUGGCAUUUUGAAAAUCAGUACCAACAUCUGUCCUAGCUUUACAGUGAUAUACGUGUUCUAGCUUUAUAGUUGCAUUAUGUUGGAGAUUGGAGGUUCAAAUGUCACCCUAAAGAUGACUUGAGCCAGGAAAAGUACGGAUUUAUGAAAGUACCCAUCGAGUAUAAUUUGCUACUAACGUGCUUCCCCAGUGGAAACCUUUAUGGUAGGAAGGCGUUCUAUCGUAGGUAGAGGAGCAGAGCAUGACACGUGUAUUUGGAAAUAAAGGUGUUAACGGAUCGAUUAUAUUGUAGUCGUAACGCGCGUGGAGAAUAGUCAUAUAGAAACAUUGUAUGUGAUUUGGUAUAUUUUAAUACUCUGCCAUUUUCAAGACAUUGAUCAAACAUGAUCAGUUCAAUUUCUUUCAUUUUCUCCAAAAACUUUCAUUUUUUCUUCUUGUAUCUUUUCGUUUUCAAUACAUCAGUUUGGACCAAAAAAAUAAAAUAAAAUUAAAAAUAUGUAAAAGAUUCAUAAAUUAACUGAAAAACACUUUAUAGACUAUCGAAAACAUUAUUUUUGUAACUUGCAAAAACUUCCAAUAAACAUUCAAGAACUAACUAUUGGUAUUUAAAAAAUGCAUUAUAUUUUAUCGAAUCAGAAUAAAUCCUUAUACUUUUUUAUUUUUAUUUGUUUUAAAUAUACUCAAGUUUUGGUAAUAAAAAGUAAGACAACAAAAGGGUAAAUUUGGAAUUACAUUUUUUAAUGUACUCAAAAUGAAUUUUUUAAGUAUUAUAUUUUAAAAUGAGUUGUAAAUAAACAAAUAGUUUAAAGUAAGGGAGGCAAGUGAGUUUCACACCCAAAAAAAAAAAAAAAAGAGAGGCAAGUGAGAUUUUUUAAAAUUUGUGAGUGCCAAGUAAAAUUGUUAGAAACCUGAGUGCCAAGUAAAAUUGUUAGAAACCUUCAGGGAGGUUUAUGAAAUUAUCCCAAACAAAAAUUUAGAAUGAAUAAGUUGCUUUUUAUAACGGUUCUAAAGGUUGUUUGAGAUUUUAUAAAUUAGGUGUCUUGAGUUUGCUAAAAAAAUUUCUUGCAUAUCUAUAGCUAGUGGAAACGGAGUUUAAACUUGCUAUAGGUUAGUUUCUUAUUUUUUAUUGUAUCCUAAAGGGUAAUUUGCCAUUCAACCUAAUUUUAUUCUGAUUUUAUCCAACUAAUAAAUUGGCUUAUGGAAAAAUGGGUAAAUGGAUAAUUUAUGGAGGAAAGCCAUAAAGAGUUGGUGUUUUAUUGGAAAACGGGUUUAUUUUUAUUUUAUCCGAUAAAUAAAUUUAUUUAUGGAAAAAGGGUACUUUGUUCUUAUAAUGGAGGAAAUCCAUAAAGAACUGGUGUUUUAUUGGAAAACGGAUUUAUUUUUAUUUUAUCCGAUAAAUAAAUUUGUGUAUGGGAAAAUGGGUAUUCUAUUCUUAUAAUGGAGGAAAGCCAUAAAGAACUGGUGUUUUAUUAGAAACGGAUUUAUUUUUAUUUUAUCCGAUAAAUAAAUUUGUGUAUGGGAAAAUGGGUAUUCUAUUCUUAUAAUGGAGGAAAGCCAUAAAGAAUUGGUGUUUUAUUAGAAACGGGUUUAUUUUUAUUUUAUCUGAUAAAUAAAUUUGUUUAUGGGAGCAUAGGUACUCUGUUCUUAUAAUGGAGGAAAGCCAUAAAGAGCUGAUAUUUGAUGAGAAAAUGAUACUUUAGAAUACCAAUGGAUAACAGUUAAAACACAUUCACAGAUUUCGUAUUUUAAAUAAUGAGAUUGUUUUUAGGGGUGUUUUUAUGGUUGUUUUUUGGGAUAUUUUUAGAAUUUAAGAAUUAUUUGAUAUAUUUUAUAAAAAUUUCAACCACCCACCACCACACACUGGGACCACGGGCUAGCGAUUUUGUGUAUUUUGCACACCGACCCAUAAAGAGCAGAUGCUUUGUUCAUAUGUUGGAGGAGUGCCAUAAAGAGCUGGUAUGUUAUGGGUAAAUGGGCACUUCAUGCAGUGAUAGGGUACAAUUUGUUAGUAAUUUUAUUAUUAAUUUUCCCUUUUAUCCCUGACAAAUAUUGUGUUAAUUGCUGAUAUUUACUCAUAUUUGGUAUGUGGACGUAAUUUCAGGAAUAAAGCAGAAAACUACCAAAAGGAGGGAUUUUAUGGAAAAUAUGGAGACUUCUAAGGGCUUCAAUGCUUGGGUCCUUGAAUUUGUGGGGACCACAAGCUAGUGGAAGGCAUCUAGUCAUUUGGACUCUUAAAAGAAAGCUACGGAAAGAGACUUGGGGGCAAGAAGUACUUUGAAGGCUUUGUCCACAUGUGUGGGGACCACCUAGAUAGCCUUUAGUCAUCUUUCUUUUAUUGCUUAAAUAGAGAUAACGUAGAGUAGCAGAGGGAUAUCUCUGGUUUUAGUCUUUUAGUGUAGCUUUACUUUUUCCUUCUUUUGACUGGCCUCUGGCACACGCCAGGUGUUCGACAAAAUUCCCCAACGGGAAAAACACCUUUUAUUCCUUGCUUCUUAAUAGAAAACGCUAUGCCUUUGCAAUCCAUUAAUUCGUGUGGUGAUUUAAUUAUGCGGCGUGGCUAAAUCUUCCAUCUAGUCAAGGAUCAACUCGACGGCGCAGUCCCGAAAACCUGUGAGAUCUAAUUAGUUUUCACGCGUUCCUUAAUUUAUUAAUAAUUGCACGUUGCCUGCUUGUAUUUUCAUGGGAUUAUUUUAUUAAUUGGAUGUCAAGGGCCGAUGUUCAAUGUGAUUUAUUAGUCUCGUGCCAAUUUAGUCAAUUAAAUCCGUAAUUGUUUGAUUGAUUAAUAUUAGUGGCAACUGGUGUGUUUACACAUUAGGGGAACGUGCAAUCUAAUUUAAAUAACCCUCGUAGCGUGUUAUUGGUUAGGGCUAGGUUUUUCUAAUAUUAAUGCAAUUGGGAAAUUAAUUCCUACGGUCGUACCUAGGAGUAUUUUCUGGUUAGGGGUGAUCAAUGGUCGUACCUUGGUUAUCAAUAAUUUAAGGAAAAAUUGGUCGUCAGACUAUAACUAACCUAUUAAUAAAUUAAGUGAACCUCUCCUGCAUCAAUGAUCGGAUAAAUGGACUGUGCCUGAGUAGUUGUAUCCUUGGCUAGAACUUAUUUAUUCUUGAUUUAAUUCCUGCUUUACUUGUGCUAGUGAUUUAUUUAUUUUUAAUUAAAUUGUUUAAUUAUUUUUAGUUCCAUUCCGGUGAAAUCCCCCCUUAUCAAUUGGACUUUAAAAAGAGACAGAUAUCCCCAGUCCCUGAGGAGACGACUUUACUUGCCACUGCCUACUAUUUUUGCCAACUAAUUAAUUCUGGUAUAUCGGGUUCAGCAAACUCUUCGGGAACAGGGUGAAUCAAGUAACCCAUUGCACACCUAGAGUCCCUGCUCCAGUACCUAGGAUUAAUUAUUGACAGCUCUUAGUGGUAUCUAGGUUCUAUAUUAUUAUUAUUAUUGCACAGGUUGACGACCUGUCAUGCAGCAAAACUGUAAAUUGGUAGCAUUUCUAUAAAGAAUAAAUGAAAAACGGGUAUAAUUGGCCAUUUGCUCUGAUUUUAUCUGAUAAAUAAAUUAAUAAUCUUACGAUACCCUGCAUAACUAAUAAAAAUUUUUUGAAAAAAUGGGUAUAACAUGUUAAACCCACAUAUUCGCCAUUUACUCUGACUGUAUCUAAUAAAUAAAUUAUUAAUCUUUCGGUACUCUAGACUUAUGAAAUGGAGACUGGUGGGUUAUGCAUGCAACAUGAAUUAAAUAAAUAAUUCAUGGAGGAGUGAUAUAAAGAGUUGGUAAUUCAUUGAAAAAAGGGGAAAAUGAGCACUUUAUGGAGGAAAGCCAAAAAUAAAUAGUAAUUAAUGGGAACACGGGUAUUACAUAUUAAACCCAUUUAUUCACUAGAAAUUUUACUCUGAUUUUAUCUUGUGAAUAAAUUAGUAUUUUUGGAAUUUAUAUAUAAUUAAUUUUUUUCUUUUGCAUUUCUAUAAAAAAUUAAUCGAAAAUUUUUUUUCGAGAGCGCAAAAAUUCACAAGUCAAAAGAGUUGGUCUAAAAGGGAAAGAAAUAGCUGAAUAUCAUUGUUUUAAGUACUAAAUAAAUAGAUGUAAAAUGCUCGUUAAAAAUUGGUACUUUGAUCAUAUAAUGAAAGAAAACUAUAAAGAACAAGCCAUUUACGGGAAAAGUUUUCAUUAAUAAAAAUACGUAACCUGAGGGGGAGAGGGGGCCAAUUGGGGGUGGGAGUGGUAGUAGCAGUGUGUGGUGGGUGGCGACAGGGGUGGUGGUGGGAGGGAGAAGAAAAGGGAGGAAGGAGAGGGAGAAGAGAGGAGAGUGAAAGAGGAAGAAAAUAGAGAGAGAGAGAGAGAGAGAGGGAGAAAAUAGAGAGAGAGAGAGAGAGAGAGAGAGAGAGAGAGGGAGGAGAAGGGGGGUGGCAAUGGGUAGGAUGAGAGGUAGGAGUAGUUAUCAGAUGGACCGCUCCUGAACUGUUCACGGCUAAGAUUUGGCCCAAAAAAAUUGUACGGUUCAGAUCACUUCUUGUACCUUGUUUUUAACAAUGUGUGUGGAGCCCACAAAAAUUUGUUCUAAAGUUACGCGUUGUGUAAAUAAAGUUACGUCAUGUGCAAACAAAAUUACGCGGUGUGAAAAUACACAAAAUCGCUAGCCCGUGGUCCCAGUGGGUGGUGGUGGGUGGUUGAAAUUUUUAUAAAAUAUCUCAAAUAAUUCUUAAAUUCUAAAAAUAUCCCAAAAUACAACCAUAAAAACACCCCUAAAAACAAUCUCAUUAUUUAAAAUACCAAAUUUGUGAAUGUGUUUUAAUUGUUAUCCAUUGGUAUCUUAAAGUAUCAUUUUUCCAUCAAAUAUCAGCUCUUUAUGGCUUUCCUCCAUUAUAAGAACAGGGUACCUAUGUUCCCAUAAACAAAUUUAUUUAUCAAAUAAAAUAAAAAUAAACCCGUUUCCAAUAAAACACCAACUCUUUAUGGCUUUCCUCCAUUAUAAGAACAGAGUACCUAUUUUCCCAUACAUAAAUUUAUUUAUCGGAUAAAAUAAAAAUAAAUCCGUUUUCCAAUACAACACCAGCUCUUUAUGGUUUUCUUCCAUUAUAGGAACAGAGUUCCCAUUUUUUCAUAAACAAAUUUAUUUAUCGGAUAAAAUAAAAAAACCUAUUUUCCAAUAAAACACCAGUUCUUUAUGAUUUUCCUCCAUAAAUUAUCCAUUUACCCAUUUUUCCAUAUGCUAAUUUAUUAGUUGGAUAAAAUCAGAAUAAAAUUAGGUUGAAUGGCAAAUUACCCUUUAGGAUACAAUGGAAAACAAAAAACUAACCUAUAGUAAGAUUAAACUUCGUUUCCACUAGCUAUAGAUUAUUUUUGCAAACUCAAGACACCUAAUAUAUAAAGUCUCAAACAACCUUUAGAACCAUUAUAAAAAGCAACUUAUUCAUUCUAAAUUUUUGUUUGGGAUAAUUUCAUAAACCUCCCCGGAGGUUUCUAACAAUUUUACUUUGCACUCACAAAUAUUGAAAAAUCUCACUUGCGUCCCUCACUUUAAACUAUUUGUUUAUUUACAGCUCAUUUUAAAAUAUAAUAUUUAAAAAAUUCAUUUUGAGUCUUACUUUAAUAUUCUAAAUUUACCCUUUUGUUGUCUUACUUUUUAUUACCAAAACUUGAGUAUAUUAAAAACAAAUAAAAAUAAAAAGUAUAAGGAUUUAUUCUGAUUCAAUAAAAUAUAGUGCAUUUUUUAAAUACCAAUAGUUAGUAUUUGGAUGUUUAUUUGAAGUUUUUGCAAGUUACAAAGAUAAUGUUUUGGAUAGUCUAUAAAGUAUUUUUCAAUUAAUUUAUGAAUCUUUUACAUAUUUUCAAUUUUAUUUUAUUUUUUGGUCCUAACUGAUGUAUUGAAAACGAAAAAGAUACAAGAAGAAAAAAUGAGAGUUUUUGAAGAAAAUGAAAGAAAUUGAACUGAUCAUGUUUGAUCAAUGUCUUGAAAAUGAUAGAGUAUUAAAAUAUAUCAAAUCAUAUACAAUGUUUCUAUAUGGCUAACAUUCUCCACGCGUGUUAAGACUAUAACAUAAUCGAUCUGUUAGCACCUUUAUUUCUAAAUACACGUGUCAUACUUUGCUCCUCUACCUACGGUAGGACGGUAAAUGCCCUUCCUACCAUAAAGGUAUCCGCUUCCCAGUGCCAUAAUUGAGAAGACAGUUUUCAUUCACCCUUUUCUCUGUAGUUUUCUUCAUAGAUUUGCUGUAGGCCCUCCUAGAAGGAAAGCACCAGUAAAAGGUGGAGCCUGUCAUUUUCGAGGACUGGAAUCGACUAAUGUUUGGGAUGAGAACAAAUAUAUUUUCUUCAUGGAUUUGCUCUAUAGGCCGUCCUAAAAGAAAAGGACCAAUGUAACGUACAGUCAAUCCUUUGAGGAGUGGUGUAAAUUAAAAGAUUUACAAUAAGGGAUGAGAACAAAUAUCUCGUAACAAUAUUAGUGCUAAGGAUUACGUUAAAACUGUUGUCCCAUUUAGAGAUACACCCGUCUCACAUUCAUUUGUAUUUCAUGGCCGUCUGCUUCAAAUUCCUAACUCGUGUACUUUUCCCUCCCACGUACCAGCAAAAUUUCAUGUUUUCCUUGGUAAGGAUUUCAGCACCUCCAAGCUUUGUAAGGAUUGCAACACUUCCAAGUUUCUCUUGCCACACUAUCCUUUAAGUUAGAGGAAUUUAACAUCUUUGAUCAACCUACCAUCGAUGACAGUCCAACAUAUUUUUGAUGAGCCUCUGCUUCAGGAAUAUUCAUACAAGAUGUUGUUGCAUUUACGGGUUCUGGUUUGGUAUUUUGGCCAAAUGCAACUACUAGUCUCUCAAAAUUGAUUUUCUCGUCUUCACGCUUAACUAGAAAUUACAAUUCUUCAGAUGAGAUCCAUUUCAUCCAAAAAAAUUGAGUGAGAUACUUUAGUAGCACUAGUUCUUGAACCUCUCGCUUCCCAUCAUCCCAUGAGGGUGCCCGGGUUUUCCUGAGAAGAGGAAAUGUACUGUGUUUCUGUGGUAGCGUGUGUUGAAUGGUUGGGAGCAGGGAUACUAUUUAUCAUAUAAACUAUACAUAAACAUAGUACCAUACAUGAGCAUGGAUGAUCAUAAAAAAUACCUACAUCCUAUGCCAAUUAUCUGGGAAGUUAUAACAUGGCGUGGUUAUGUAGCGUAUAUAUACCAGUAGCAAUCCCAAGGCUACAUUGAUCAAGAGCAUCCAACCAAAAAACUGUUGGUUGAUUACUUUUUUUUUUUUUUUGGUAUAACCCACAGAUAUCCGCAUGUGUUUUGCAAUUUACGACUAAUCUUGUUUGAGUCACAUCAGACCUCCUUUGCAGGGAAAGUUCUCCUAAUAUUGUUUUUUUUCCAUUCCCAUGUUUUUUUGAAUCCAAGACCUCAUGUUCAAAAGAUGCAAGCCUCUUCACUUGCACCGACAUCCGUUGGUGUUGGGUGAUUACUUAGUCUAUUAGAUUCCGUUGACAAUUCUUCGACAGAAUUGAGGGUUGAAGUUGUAGAAAAGCUAUCUGGCAUUUUGUCUUGGUGGUCAUCUUAAAUAUGCGUUCAAAAGCUGUACGCGCUGGCCAAAAUAGAUAUGGAGAGAGCUGCUUUGUGGUCAUUAGUCCAUCUGGGGAUCUUGAGAGUGCAUGGAGUAAUUGUCGCUUCCGUUUAGAUUAACUAUUUUUCGGGGCAUUUUUGAAAAAUUUUAUUGUAGCAGAGUUUUCAUAGUAUAUUUUAAAAAAUAUUUUGAAAUAUUUAAGAGUAGAAGAGUUUUUAGAAUAUAUUUUGAAAUAUUUAAGAGUAGAAGAGUUUUUAGAAUAUAUUUUAGAAUUUUUUUAAACAAAAAAAAUUUUUUGACUACUUUUUAAAAAUUUUAAUAAUAGUAUUUGGAAAGCUAGUUUUUGAGAAACUCUUAAAUCCAAUUUGAGAGUGACUGUUUUUUCUUGGGCUGAGACUCGUAGUGUUCUUUUGACCAAUUGUCAGCUAGGAGUAGUGGCUUGGUUUUCAACUGGUGGUAGAGCCGCUGGCUCAGCCACAGCAGGUACGCAUGCCAAAACAUUGUAUCUAGUCAGAUUUUCUGUCCUUGAAGGAAUAGUAGAUCCUGAUUUGGAAGUAGACAGUUUCAUCUCUCAAUCUUCAUUUAGGAGCUGGAUAUGAGGCCCUUCAUUCUGCAAAGGGAGAUAAUGGAGGAUAGCAUCGAUGAGUUUUUGUUGGACUGCACGAAGCAAAGAAGAAUUCUUGAUAAAAACAAGAUAACCUGGAGCGCCAUAUCCGCAACGUCUUCACUUGUAAUUCCAAUGAGCAUCUCAGGUAAGGCUCCAAACAAAAGCAGAUGUAAAGGGAAAAUCACAAAGAAGAUCGAAGCUUGUUUAUCCGAGACCCUCACUCAAAUAUACUGUAUAUAGAUCUCUUGUCGUCUUGAGAUAUACGAUCACUAGCCUAAAGAAAAUAGAUAAAUCAACAUCACGACCUUUUCUGUGCUGAAAAAAUUGCUGUUUUCUGUUAAAAAUACAUCACGAACAAAUCUAAUAGAUACAAUUGGUCGGAACCACCCCAGGCAAUCCCAUGUGCUAUUUCAUUAUACAGAAACCAAUUAAUGAAGCCUCGCUACUUUAGAAGGGGAAAAAAAUAUAAGGAAAAGUGAGAAAUAAGAAAGCCCCCAACCCGGAAGGAGAAAACCUCACUCAAAGAACUACAUGGUUGAAAAAGAAUCUCAAAACUUCGAUCUCCAAGAAGCCCAACACCAACAAUGCUAAGCCGAUCAGAUACAAUGGUACAGCCCUGAAUCCCGCCAGCCCUUGCACUGUAUUGUUCGAAACCCACCUCAAUUUCCGGGGAUGCUUGGGCAGGCUGUCUGUAUAAUCAAUUUUACAAUAAUCGUCAUUGACAAAUUUUCAAUGAUGAAAUAAGGAACUCAAAACAAGCCAGCAAGCAAAGCCCCGGAUCAGAUGUUGCCGAAGGUGAGGGUGGAAUUGUUGGCUGAGGUUGUGGAGGUACUGGUGCAGGCGGUCGGGCAACUAGAGGGAUGCUGACUAAUUGUUCUUUAAUAAAUUCCUUCAACCUGUACAUCAUCCAGAAGAGCAUGUUUCGGGUUCAAAUUCAAGCUUAUAUCAUACAAUUGAAAGGUAAAGACUUCUGAUAGAACUCAAAGCAAAACACGUACUCAAAAGUUAGAGUAGGAUCGCCUGAGGCAACAGUCAUCCGUAGUUGAGUUCUAUCUGCUGAUCCGUUUCUACUCUAAGCUGCAUAACCAACAGACCAUCACAUCAGAAUGAUAGACAUGUUUUCAUAGUAGCAAAAGAGAAAUAAAUCACAAGCAACCUUUACUAAAUAAAAUGGGACGAAAGUCUACGGUACUAAUAAAAUAAACAAAGAGGAAAAAAAUAAUGAAGUACAUAUUCUUGGAAUAGUUUAAUCACGUAUAUUAGCAUUACGUGAGAAAACAAAGAACCAAACCCACUCAAGAACCCGGAUGACAGUAAAAUGGACAGUAAAGUGGCAGCCAUUCUUAGAAAUAAAGCCACAACUGGCUUACCAAACACAACAUAGCUCGUGUACUCUCUGAAUAGAAAGUUGUGCUGGCAACCAAAUUGUUUGGGUUUGGAUCCUGCAAAGAAAAUAAGAGGUUAAUGCUAUGAGCAUUUAUAUGCAGUUAGGAAUGAUUCAAAUGUAAAGAACACAAACAGGAUAAAGUGAAAAACUUACAAGCCCUGGACAAACCAUCAACCUGUAACUGUUGAACAAAUUGGCCAUUUCUAGAAGUGGCAUUGGUCUUACUCCUCUAACCUGGUCAAAUGGAAUAGGAUAGUCAAGUUAUACAAGUAGAUCACUAUUGCUGAAUAUAUAGUCAAACUAAAAAAUAAAGCGAAAAAUACCACUUCUUGAAGCUUUAGAGGAGGUCCAGAAAGUGAUCUCCACUGGGGGAAAAACUCUUCACCGGACACUUGUAUAGGCUGAAGAAACUUAUUCAAGACAGCAGGAAGGCGAAGUUUUACAUUGACCUGUUAAGUGAUCAGGGAAAGAUUAUUCAGAAUUAUACCACAAGUAUUAUGAGAAAAUAAAAAGAAUUCCAAACCAAAACCCAAUAAAAAAAAUAUAAUAAAUGACCCUAGAAAUUUCAUACUCAAAAUCAGUUCGUUUAAAUGCCAAAAGCUUUAUUAUGGGGUUACAAUACCACAUGACUCGAAAACUUGUAGGAAAAAUCCAGAACAGCCACAUCCCUACUUGGCCGGAGAUUAACAACCUCAAGUGGGCAUUGCACCUAAACAACAAAACCAGAUGCUUUUAAUGGAUGAACAAUCUUAAAAGAAAUGCACACAGAGAAGAAAAUGGAAAAUAAACCUGCAGUUAACCAACCUGUGCUCUUGGGGUAUAGUCUCUGGUACAAGUGAGAGUUCCAAUUUUAAGUGAGCUGGGGCAAUAUUAAAGCUUGAACUGAAACAAGUGGUGAUGUAUUCUUAUUUCCAAGGAAAAGCACUAAUCGCCCAUGUGGGGCUCUCCAUUCUGCUUUAAUGCCAAUCUGAAAUUACUCACCCAAGAAAUCAGUUGUCUACAGAGAAGGCUUAAAGGAGCUUGAGCAGGCCCAUCCAAACUGCAAAACUGAGAGCAUACCUGAAUAUAAGGAUCCUCAUACAGCACGCCACUGUCCUUUAGGCACAAAGCCUGAAACCUUUCGGCAAUAUUUCCAAUUGGCUGCAAGCAAUGAUCAGAGAGGAAACUCAAAAUCAUAAACACCACAAGAAAUGACAUAAUCAUCAUAAACACCAAAGGAAGUCCUAUGCCAUUUGCAAAAACUAAAUGUACAAAAAACUCAUCAAAGUCAUUUUCCUUGACAUGGAAUCUGUAUGGAGAAAUACGCUUGCGUGUUACAGAAGAAAACAGUAGCUAAAAUUAAAAUAAGAACAAACUCAUUCACGCAAAUUACACCCUAGGGAAAAAUCCAGCUAAAACUUCUUAAUGUACUGCCAAUUCUUAAAUUUUUGCAACCGUAAAAUCUAGAAAAUGUUGUCUCCACUACUGGACAGUGCUAAUAUUAGCCUACAACUUGCACAAGAAAGCACCUGGACAGUGUUCAUCUGGCCUUCAACAGGAGCAAUAGCCAACGCCUCCCCUGCAUUUGCGCACCAGCCAAACCAGAGCCUGAAUAUGCUCAGCUUCAGCAGUAGCACUAGGAGGCCUUCAAUAGCCAUUGGACCCAGGAGAUCUUCAAAGGCGGAUCCACAACAGUGAGUGUGCCAUUUGCUUCAGUCACAGCUGGAUCUGGAGAUUCACCAUCCUGAAAAUUUAUACAUCAAAUUAUAAUCUGAUGUGACAGUGAAGAAGUAGAGCGUCCAUAUCAACAAUUGGCUCACUAAAAUCCAGGGAAGGUCAUCUCACCACAUUACUCAUGGCAGGCACCUUUACAAGACUGAUCUGGCUCACAGUUGAAGGUCCAUUAGCAGGGUGCUGGUCGGUCACCACCAAAGCAUUAGAGUUCUGCUGCUGAGCACGCAACUUUAUUGCACUUUGCUCAGCAGUAUCAGCCUCAGAAUUUUCAGCUUUCUUAAUCAACGCAGACUGCAUAACAAAAAAACAUCACCACAAUUUUUAUCAAUCAUGGAUCAGAAUAAUACAAUAAUCAACUUUAAAAUGAAAAUCAAGUCAAAGAGUGCUUCUUCCACAAUGCUGAUUGCUGUAAUUGAUGAAACAGACAAUUGGAGAAUAAAUGAGAACUCAUAUGCACACCUGUCGCUCAGGGAACUUUGGCAUUUCAGCUAAUAUAUCCAUCAAAGCUGCACCUUUCCUACUCAGUUCAAUAUACUCAACAGCCCGCUGUUGUAGUUCAACAUCAAUACAACUUCCAUACCUGAAAGUAUGUUAAAAUGUGCCAGUGACAUUGAAGAAAUUAAGUCAUUCACUGGAUGAAUUUCAAAUUAAAACGUGAAAUUAUCUCACUUGUUGAAUAUUGCCCAAUUUGAGACUGUAGCUCCGGGUCAGGUGGUUGGGUGUGCAUCAAAAUCUUUGCAUAUGAUGAAAGAAGAAUAGAAACUGUUGGAGUCCUGAACAAACAUAUUGAAAUGAGGGAGGGAUAGCAAUGAAUAAAUACUGAGAAUGAAAGACAACAAAGCCCAAAAUCCUUACGAAACAGAAGGAAGCUUCUCAUGUAUGACACUGAAAAUUUCUUUUGGAUUACAUCCAGGCCGUCUAGCCAGAAGAUGGCUGUACUCUCCAAGAAUAUAUGCACUUACCUAUUCCAAAAAAAAUUCAGAAUUACAGGAAACUCAGUAUUCAGAAAGGCCAAGUGGAGUCUACUUUAUCAGUUGACUGCAUUAAAAUAAAAAGCACCACAAAAUCAAAUUCUGCUAAUUGAUUUUCCUCCUUGAAGAUCAACAAGUAAUAUGCAGAAUGCUUGGCAUGUCAUUAACAUGAAGCUCUAUAAAAAUGUUCAAAUGGGAAAUUGAUCUAGUAGAGUCUCUGAUAAUAGAAAAUAUCAGCAGGCAUAAUUAGAUAGAGUAAGUGAAACUGAUAGAUAAAAGAACUAUGUUCAUUUACAUCUCUGUUAUGUAUGCAUAAACAAAGUACAUACAAUGUACAUAUAUAUAUGCUUAUUCUCCCCAAAAGACUACCCAUUGCGUUGAUCGACAUGAUUUUGCUAUUUGGAAACCAAGACUAGAAGGCAUUGUAAAUGAUCAUCAUAUUCCUGUUAAUCAAAUUUGAAGGCAAUGGGAACAAACCUUAACCAUAGUUUCAUGAACAGCAGGCUUAUCAAGAUACUCUCUGGCUUUCAGUGCAGCAUAAGGCUGAUAAAGAAUACAAAGACAUAGGUUACUCGUAUGAAGAUUUAAAUUAUAUAAAUCCAGAAAAGAGCUACCCUCGUUACCUGUAAAUCCUCGUUAUUCGUAACGAACUGCACCACACGAAACCAAAUGUCAUCACUGACAAAAUCCCUGCCUUGUCAAUCAACUGAAGGAUGACAUCCACAUACCUACAAGUGAAAAGUGAAAAGCAUUACAUAUGGACUCUAUUACUAGGUUACUGAAUAUUUGUUUAGGUUGGUCUUUGAAUGAAUGGCGGAUCAAAUCCCAUACCGACUUUUUGGACUUGAAAGCCUACAAACUAUAGUACUCGAAGUUCCUGAGUUUCCUACUACUACUUGUUAGAUUCAAAAUUUGUGCAAAUUACAGUACUUGAAGCUCCUAAGAAUACCAAUCCCACCCAGGAAUUUGCAAUUCAAGCAUACACCAAAUCAACCAAGUAGAAUGACUAAGCUUGAUAGCAAAAUAUGUAUUUAUCUUUGGAGACAUUUCCAUACCAUGACAAAUCAGGGGCAAACUUCUCUGAUAGAAUUGCAAUUUUUAGUGACAAUUCUUCACGCAUAGCAAAGUCUGCAGAGCUGAGAUACUGAAAACAGAUAAACAUUAGCACGGGAAAGAACUUCAUUUGCAUUAGUACAAAAGCAACUACAUACGAAUAAUAAUUUAGAAGCUAGACAGGACAUCUGCAGUGCUUGGUCCAGCAUAUAUAUAUAUAUAUAUAUACACACAUACAUAUAGAUAUAUACCUGUAAUAAUUCUUCAACUAUGUCCUUUGCGUUGGAAACAUCACACAUGCCAUAUAGCAAAUCAAGUGCACGCCUUCGGAUGCUGUUGAUAAGAAUAAGAGUCAAUCAUAAGAAAGAUAAAUAACAGAUUUUUGUAUUUAGUUUGUGAGAGACUUGUGGUGUGAUAUAAUUUGUGUUUCAUCAUCACUUGUUUUGUGCCUCAGGUCCGGCCCCAUUAAUUCUAUAUUUUCAUUGGGUACUACUAAACCUUACUUACCCAAAAAAAAAAGAAGAUAAUUAGCGGAUGGCUUAACACUCCAAUGUAUACAUGUUAAAAAAAAACCACACAAACACACACACACAAAAACAAUCUCACAGGAAAAAAAAUAUUGAACUGAAAGACCUUAAUAGUAACCUACUGAUGUUUUAGCAAAAUAAAGAAGCUCCGCAUCCAGUGAAAAUUUCUUAUUUCUUUGAAUUAGUAUCUUAAGUUCUAGGUAACCAACCUUGUAUAUUACACGUGAAAAUAUUUCUUACAUGAUACGACCAUGUAUCUCACUCUACAUGCCUUCAGUUACCUCUUGUGCAGCUGUUAGAAAAGAGAACCACGAGGGAAAUUCCACAGAAGAACACAAAGUACUUCAUCUACCUGAUAUCAGGAUCCUUUAAUGAGGUAAUGAUCUGGGCUUGAUGUCUUUUUAUAAUGUCCUGUACAUCUGUUACCAUUAACAUCCGCGUCAUAUUCUCCUGUGUCACAGAACAAAGAAAGUAACCAGGUCAGUGCCACCAUCUCAAACUUUCUAAUAUGAGAGUGGAUGGGCCACAUCUGCAGGCUCUAAACAUCACUUAUUAGGACAAUGCAAACAACCUAUUUAAGCAGCAGAAGUAUAUAGGACAAUACAAAAACAGCAGGAAGGAAGAAGGGUAGGACAUCAGAGACUUCAGUGCAUAGAAAGCGGAAAGGAACAACUUACCAAGCCAAGAUAUCGAAUAUUUGGCUCACGCACAGCAAUAAAUUUCCCAAGCAGUGCAACACACUGGGACAUCAUCUCUUUUUCAGCAUCAAGAUGCAUGACCUGAAUAAAAGAUGACAAAAUUUGGAAAAAUACCACUAAGUAUGUGCAUAGAUGAAAUAGUUUGAAACGAACCACUACUUCAAAGCAAGUUGCAUCAUGGUUUUCUAGAGCAACCUUAACACAUUUAAGAAAGCAAUGGCUAUAACUGAGAUACAAUUAAACAGCAUAUUUGCAAUGAUAUAUCAAGUUCGGAAUUCUGCCUAAAAGUCUCUUGAAUGCACAACUACCAAGUCUAUUCAUUCUAGCCAGGAAACAUAAAGAGCUAAUAAGAAUAAGAUUCUUUUUUUUAUGAGACAUUUCAAGAACAAAAUUCCACAGCAGUAUAGCUCAAAACCAAAAUGUUCAUACUUGUUUUUUUACUCAUUUGAUACUAAAUCCAAAUUCAGAAAAUCAAUUACUUCUCAAAUUUUGUACUUGCAGUAGGAAAGGAAAUUUAACUGACACUAUUACCUUUCCACUCAUAUUGCUCAAUCUCAAACAUAUCUCAAGCAGUAAUUAUAAUUCUUCCAAAAGAAACUAUGGAAAUAAUGCAAAUCAAUCGGCCUCUUGGCUCAAAUUUACUGUUGAAAAAUCUACCCAUCAAAAGAAUCCUAAAACAAAUGAUCACUAACUACAGUACAACACACUCAAUGGUAACUUACAAGAGCAAGGGCUUCAAAAAGCACAGCAUGGGAUGCAUUAUUGUUGACAUUUUUCACUACAUCAGUUCCCAUGAGUAUCCGUUGUAAAACCUAAUUAACCAAGAUAAAUCAAACAUCAUAUCCAAUAACAAGUAAUACACUGGGAUAUAAGAUUCAGUGAAGAAACCAUCAAAAACUUCAUUUGUAAAGGAAGAACACCUCAAAUAAUGAUCUUCUAGUGUUUGGAUCUUCAACAGUAGGAAAAUACUGAAGAGCCCUCAUUGUCUUAACCUGGAUCAUGUAAUAGUGAUUAUUAAACAUAACUAACAAUUUAAAACGUCACUUAAAGAAAUAUAUUGCAUGAUACUAAUUGAUGAAAAAAAUUGAAUUGAUAUAAUCACCCACUUUUUUCCUUUUAGAAAUCCAUUCACACCACAAAAUUAUGCAAGAUGCAAUGGCAACUAAACUACAUCAAAGAAUACCCUUCUACAUUCUAUAACUGCUUCUCUCUAAGUGCGUACCCGUUCAUCCUGUAAAUCAAUCUCGUUCAACCUAAGAACUUACAGAUAAUUUAAGAUUUAAGAUCAUUCUAAAAAAGUCCUAAAUCAUAAUUUUUGUUGCUAAUUGUAAGAGCAAUUUCUGUAAACGUGUCUUGAUUUAUGAAGGCUCACCAUAGAAACCUGCAAAAAGUAUUAUGCACAGACAAGUUUCUUGGUACUUACUGACACACACCAGAAUAUGUUGAAAUACAAAAGAAGAAAGCCCAUCAAAGAAAAUUUUCUGCGCUAUACCUACCAAAGGAUUUUCUCCUGCGAGUAACAUGAUUUCCCUUGUAUGCUCAAUUCAACUCCAAUAAUGUGAUUUUAAUAAAUGCACCAAGAUUAACCCCUCAAAUCAAUUAGUUCCAGCUUUGAAAUUAUAAUCCAUGCACUUUUGGGAUUCACAAAUUCGUAGUCCUCUAAAAUCUAGAAUUAUGCUCCACCUGAAUUGUCCAAAUUAAAAAAGGAUCCAAUACAAGUGAAUUUACAUCUUUACAGUUUAAGAUGGAGUUCUCUGUUGAGAAUUAUGCUCAAACCAAAAUCUUGGACUCAAGAAACAAUAAAUGCAAGUUAACCAUUCAACAUGAGUUAUUUACAGUAUUGCAGCCCUAACAACUAACUCGGAGUUUAACAGAAAAGGCAUACAAACCUGAAGCCAGGGAGAUGGAAUACCAUAGUAAGUGUAUUCUUGUGGAAUAUCUUGGUUCCUUGCCAGCCUUUCCAAAAUUUUAACACACUUUGGCAGACAACUCCAGUAUGUGUCAUGGUUAUGCGACACUAAGGCAACUAAAAGGCUCAUUGAAGAUGUUAAGACACCCAAAUCACGUUCAUCUAACAGUUGUGCCAUUCGAUCUGACCUGAUAAUAACAACAAAUAGCUUAUCAAAUUUGCAAUGGUACAAUUAUCCAUCAAAUAUGUCUACAAUUUUAUACUAAUUACCAGCCAUCCACAUUCACAACAUCAGGAUUUUUUCUAAACAGGCGUAGGAGACAUAAAGCAGCCUUCUUCCUCACAAGGGGCCUGCAACUACUGGAUAGCUGAAGGGAAAGAAACUGUCAACAAAAAUAUUCAACUCAUUAGUACUCAAACAAAAGUCAAGAAACUGUCUGCUUACAAGUAAUUUUUGAACAUCAGGUGCAAGUGAUUCAGCAAACUCCCUCCCACCAAUAUUUCCGACCUGUACAAGGCAACAAAUAAAGACAUAACAAAAAUAAAACGAAAAAAGAAUAAAAGAAAUUUGCUAAUUAUCUAGAAAGGUCUAUAACCAUACCAGAGUCAGUGCUAGGCACUGGAAAGUCUCAUUUCUACCGAUGAUAUCAUUCCGGACUGUAUUAAUAGCUAAUCUCAAAAAGUCGUGAUUCUCAUUAGCAAACACGAUGUCACUAUGUACCCAACCUGCAGCCAGAUCGAGUCAGUUGAACAUUCCCACAAUAACAUCAUUGUCCCAAAGCAGAACAAAUGUUUAGAAAAGUUCAUGAAUGUAAGCAGUAAAUAAAUCCUAUGAAGGAUACCCUAAAGCAUCUAUUUAACAAAUUAGGGAAUUUUUCUACAUUUCCAGGCAAGAGCUAAAUUCAAAAAGACAUCAACAUCCCUAUUGCACGCAUAUUACAGAAUCAACUUUGAACAUUCAAACAAAUUCGCUGACUAUUUCCAGAUUUUAUAAUGGACCUGUUUUUGUGCUGCUGCUUUGACCUCACAAUGUGCCAGAAAGCUUACUAAGCAAAGUCACAAGCAACAUCCGCUCAGCAUUUGAUAAUUUUACUGGUUCAAUGGGUGUAGCAAACGACUGUCCAUAAAUUGGCACAAGGCAUCCAAGAACAAAUCCAAAAAUCAAAAGUUCUUAAUCCUCCAACUGAUUGUUGCAUUCAAUUGGCAAUAAAGUUUAAAUCAUUUCAAAACCAAUAGUUAUAGUUUGAUUCCAUCAAUUAUUACAAGUACUGCAUAAGGAUGGAAAAAGCACAUCUAUAUAACAAAUGAAAAAAAAUGUAAAGUGCUGCAGCAAAUUCAAAACUUUUUAGAUGCAUGCUUAACAUGAGAUAAUCGUCAUGAGUUGACAGGAUCCAGUUUUUAAUGAAUGUCAUCUAUCUCACACAGAAUCUAUUUUAGUGCAUGUAAGCAACAGAAAUAUAGCAUAGCAAAAUAAUUAUCACACAUGCAAUAAGAACUAUCCAGCACAUGUAUUGUAGUGAACGACUAGCUUAUUUAAGUUGAUUGCAAUCAAACGUAGUUGGGUUCUGAGCAAUUGAUUGAAACCUUAUUGCCAAAAGUAACAAUACUAGCAUUACAAGACAAGAUCAUUGCAUUGUGUUAUCAAAAACUGAGGUCAUCAGGUACCUGCUUUUCAGGAUACUUGGGAGCAGAUAUUAAAGAAACGGCUUCCAUGUGACCAAAGUCCACAUCAUAACCAAGCAUGUAUAUGUAAAGCAUUUUCCAGACGUAUUUCUUCUUCUCAUAAGGAGUCAAACCCUGUAGUGAACAAAACAUAUGUAAAAAAACUCAUACAAUACCAAAAUCAGACUCAUCUCUAAGAUACAGUUGAAAAUUUUGAUUGCACAGAAUAUAACAAAAUUUGCAAGCAAUAUGAAUGCCAAAAUGACAAGCAGAGCAAUAUGCUGAAAAAUAUUGCUGACAAAAAAAUUUCUGAAAAAAAUAUUAAACUUGACCAGCCCCAAGGGAAGCUACAAACUCCAAAUUUAGCAAAUAAAAACUGGCCGUAAGAGACACCCCGAAAAUUGUAAGUAAGAAAAAAAAAUUGCAGACAAUUUCGAUUUCUGCAAUAACACCCUAAGGAAGUCCAUUACUCAGAGCUCUUGUCAUAACUGAACAGUUUGUUCAACUUCAUAUAUCUAAGGAUUGGUUAAAGAAUUUGUAACGACUUUGGGUCCACAUACUACUCACAACUUGGUUUACGCAAUUGAAAUUUCUAAUUCUGCAACAAAUGAAGGAUCAAGAUCAAACAAAUAACCAGGAGAUCACAUCAGUAGUUUGGGCUACAAAAGUUGUUGGCAUAGGGCACUGAUUUGUUACAGUUUGCACCAGAAUGGCCCCCUAUGGUCUCGCAACGUGGUGAAUUGGGACAUUGUUAGACAAUGAAGUAACUUCACAGCAUGUUCAACCAAGGACAGGAGAUGAUUGCAAGACAUGAAGGUUCAUGAGAAGAAAUACAUAAGGCUGAGUUCUGAUAACUUUACCUAAGCAUUGCUGCUGAUGGACAGUGAUUAGGCUACAAAACUUUGUUUAAGUAGCUCAGGCCAUGGUAAUUGCAACUGUAAUUUUGAAAAAUCAAUUUUCAAAGACAUCACCUUCCCAAGAUCCCCACCAAAAAACAAAAAUCAGUGAGCUUCAUGUAGCUCCCAGUGAUUGCGCUGAUGAUGGCUAUAUGCAUUAGCCUCAGGAUCAGAGUAUGGCCACAAUAAGUGACAGGCUCAAGUAGAUAAGUAAAGCAGGAAAAGAGAAAAAAUAAAAAUAACAUAGGUCAGCAAAAUGAUACCGCACACAACAAGAACGUUUUGAUAAAUUAAUCUUCAUUUUAAGAUUGAAACAAAGAAGGACUACAGUUUCCUUCUGCCUUUGCAUAAAAUAUUCUAAAAUUGAAGAGGAGGUCUUGGUUAGUGAGCAUUUGAAACAAGGAAACUUCCACAAUCCCAAAUAAAAGCCUACUUGGCUUUUAGCCUGAAACGAAUCUCACCAUGAUUACUAGGGAAAUCCUUGGACAACAACGCCAGUCACCUCAGAGUCAAUGACGCACAAACAUCACUUGCCAUAUCUCUCAUAUUUUUGAAAAUGUUACUAUAUACCUGCUUCCUGAAUAUCAAAUCUGUCGUGUACAGUCUUCUAACCCUUAUCCACUUAAAACUUGUCUCUUUCACUACUUAGUUGAGCAUUAACAAACUCCAUGGAUUACCUUUUUCCCUUGCUAUAGGCCACCACCCAGAAAAGGAACAACAACAAAGAGGCUGGUGCAAUUUAUGUAUGAAUGCUUAAGUCUUCUUAACGAUUCUACAUAUAUAGCAACAAGUCAUGAAGUUCAAGGCUUAAUCAUAACUUAACUGAACAUACUAGCGAAUUAUUCUAAACCACAAAUCCAGGAAGGUAUGGUGGGACCCCCAGCUCCUACCAGUUCACACAGAUCAUACCAUGUCUUUGCCAUGGAUUGAAUGUGUUAUAAGCUGUGCAAGUAGUGCAGUACUUUCCCGAUUAUACUGAAUUUGGAGAAAUAGCCGUGCAUGAUCUAACAACGUCCAUCAAAUAACAUCGAAGAAAUCACAACUUUCAUCCAAGUAAUUUUCAGUGCUGAAAGUACAAGAAGAAAAUGAAGGUUUAGCGAAAAAGAAAAAAAAGCAGCCACAAAUGCCAAUAUUUCAACAUUACUCGUCUACACCCCUUCCGAAUUAUCAGCAUUCACUACCAACAAAAUGCUAGCUCAUUUUCAUUUCUUAACACAUUUUUUCUUCUUUUGUCCAACUAACCCUUUCCAAACAUAAAUUCCAUCUAAGAUUAUCAACUCAAAAUUUCUGAACUAGAAAGGCCUCUACUAAUCAAAUUGCCAAUGACAGAAUUCAAAAAGAAAGUAAGCAUCCAAAACGAGCCAAAAUUACAAAACCAUAAAACACUCCAAACACAUUUCGACUAAGCCUUAAAAAGUGAAUUCGGACUUCAAAUUCCACAAAUUUUAAACUAAGCCAACACAUUCAAAGCCCUCUUUAUUCGAUAAAAACCUAAUUUACACAAAUGCACCACUUAAACACAAAAAAACCUAAACACAACUCCACAAAAAUACAGUCCCCUCAGCUCAACAGCUCAUAUCGAAUUAAAAAAAGCUUUUAAAAAAAUGAUUACAAGAAAGAAAAAUAAAUGAAGUACCUUUUCAUUUUUGAAGCGAGUACGGAUAUUGCCGAGCUCUUUAUCGACGCGGAGGCGUUCUUGUUCUUUGUUCUGGCAAUUGCGGACGUCGCUGAUGAACACCGACAGCCCUCUCAUGCCAGACAACGCCAUCUCCAAGCGGUCCGAUCACAACUCCGGUCCAGAUCCAACUCAAAACGCUUGGUCCGGUUACAAUUGAAAGAUCUUAAUCCUCUGCUUUGGUUUCUUCAAAAUGAAUGCAUCUAAUCAAAAUUCCAGGUGGAAUUCACCGAGUAAAAAUCAAAAUGCUGAGAGUGAAAAAUAAUGUUUAGGGUUUGAAUUUACAAAUAGAGAGAGAACAGUGGGUGUGUGGAGGCGUGAUCUAGAGAGAGACAGAGGUGGACUGAGGAGAAAAUUUGGAAAGAGCCGUCGGGGCCCGAUAGAUAGGCUGAUGAGGAAGAAAGACGACUUUUUUUUUCUUUUUUUUAGUAUACUACAAUUUUUUACAGCAGAUGACGCCAUCAUUUCGCUUUUUUUUAUUUUUUUUAUUUAUUGACUCCGCUAUAAUAAUUAGCAUUAACAUUUAAAACUCGAUUUUUAUUUUUCUUUUUGGGUUUGGUUUUUAGUUCCCAAUUUAAAGCUUGUUGACUGGAAAAGAACCAGAAGGAUGUGGAUCCGGGACCCGAAAAGGGAUGGGUUUGUGGUUUGACCGUUCGAAGCACAAAUGCGAAAGGCCUGUUGAAAAUGUCAGAAACUUUCAUCAGUUGUUCUUUUGCCUAUUUUGUGAUUUUCCACCGAAAUUUUUUUUUACAUUUUCUAUGAAUAUAUUUACCGUCACCUUCUUUUCUCACAUAAAUAAAAUCGUUAUAAUACGUUUUUUUAUAAAAAAAUCCUAAAUAUAGCAAUUCAAACACCUAAAUCUCCCUCUUUUUUUUUAUAGUUUUUUGUUGAUGAAUGCUGCCUAUGAACUUCAAGUUUAUCAUUGGUUUUUUAUUUCACAUUUGGUUAAUUGUUUUCAUAAGUUGAAGUGACCGUACGUUUUUUGUUAGUAUUAGGCUGCAAGAAAUGAAGGCAAAAGGCUAUAAAUAUAUCCAAAGCAAAGCAACUAAAAAGGCAUAAAGAGAUAUUUUAAAUGAAAACUUAAUUGUUAUUACUGCAGUUUUAAAUAGUAGCAAAAAUAGCCCGAACAUAUACCAUAUAGUUCUUUCAAACCUAUCUUACCAUUAAUUAGAUUGUAGUAUUGUUUUAUUUUAUCAUACGGUCUGUCUAACAGGAACUUUCUGAGCGCUUGUUAAAAUAUAUUUCAGGUAUUAAAUUUUUAAAAAUGUAAAAUUAAUUAGAAAAAGUGUAUAAAUACAAAAAAAAAAGAUAAUAACUAUUAGUAUGUAUAUGCAUAUAAUAUAUUAGAUAGAAUUUAGACGUAUUAAUGAUUGUUCAAUUGUCAUAUUUGAUCGGUUAAAAUACAAGCAUUUAGAUUCGAAAUCUAAUUAUUUAUCACACAUAGUAGAGUAAUUUAACUCAGACCAAAUGUUCAAAGAUUUUUUUCACAAAUGGAUACUGUGGUAAUGAGGGAACAAAAAAUUCAUGAAAAUCAUAGGAAUGUUGUUAUUCAAGAAAUUCCAGUCUCCUUCCGUCAUUUUACUUGGUUCUUUCCCUUCUGGACAUCACAGAUGUAAGCCUGAUAAUACCCUUGUCGGGCGAAUACUCGACCCUAAACCACCAACUUGAGAGAGAAGGUCCAAAUAAGGCUUAUCUUUGGCGUUUCUAGAAUUGAUUUCCCAACCAUAUUAUGACCUUCUAUGAUGUAAACGGGUUGAACUUUGAACCAUUGUGCUUUUGGGCUCGAAGAAUUUGGCAAAAGUCGGUCCACUUUUUUGACUCUUCAUAGGCUCGUAGCACUCAAUGCUGACUUGUCAAAACAACCCAUUGGAGACAAGAGGAAAUUUCGCUGCAAAUGUUCACACAUAGACUUAGGACGCUAAAAGUUUCAGCAGAGAUCAUUAGGGGUGCCCAGGGUCAGGGAUCAUAAAUUCCAUGUAUGUACGAAUUCACUGUCGCUAAUCACACGUAGCGAUCAACAAAAUUACAUUCCAUACUGUAACCCAGUUGAAUCGGUUAAUCUGUGAGAUAGGAUUUGAGUGUACAUGAUAAUUUAAUCUUCUUCUACGUAUAAAAAACAAAAAAGAAUUAGAUUAACAAAUCAAACAAUACAAUAUUUUUUUUCAAAUCAAUAAGAGUAUUUAAUCUAACAAUUCUAAAAAUCUAUCAACAAAAUAGAAAAUCAAAACACAUUAGAUAAUUUAAACACCGAAUAUUAUAAACAUUUGUUUCCGUUUUCUCUAUUUCUUGAAAGCAAUCGAUAUUAUUUUUUUUAAAAUAAGGAUGACAAGUUACUCCACAACCAAACAUGUAAGUUUUAAACAUUAAAAACAAAAUAAUUAGUAGAGUGAUGGAGUUGAUAGGAUUUACGAGAAAAGAAAAGAAGUUUUGGAACAAAAAAAAAAGGGAGAAGAAGAGUAAAUGAAAUUAGUGGCGACGCAUGUAGAAAGUGAAAAAGGUAAUUGGGAGAUAGAAUUAGAUAGAUAAGUUUAUAAGUUUUGAAAAAUAAAAUAUAUAAUAGUUCUCAUAAUUCAAUUAUUAGUAAAUUAAAUUGACUAAAUAAUUAUGAGUUGGAGUUGAGGUUUGGAUUUGGCUACUAGUUAUCCUAACCCAUCCCACAUAUCCUAGAUAGGGACGGCAACGGGCGGGGUUGGGGCGGGGGAUGCUGCCUACAAACUCCCCCCACCCCGUCCCAGCCUCGCCCCGCCCCGCUUCCCCUGCAUGUGCUUUCGCGGGGUUAAUAAAAAUUUGUUAUAUAAUUUUAUUAUGAUUAAAUUUUAGCAAAUAAUCAAAUACUAAAAUAUCAACACAUCAUCAAAUUAUUAUUCAUUGUAAUUUUAUAAUUGAAACUUAUAAAAACAAUCAAACAAAAAUUAUUUAAAUACAAUCCAACAUGAUGAAAUAAAUAUAACUAAAGUAGUCAAGUUUUCACUUUUGGCACAAAUACAAUCACUAAUUCAUUAUUGUGUGUUUGCUUUUUUUAAGAAAAAAAUGUUAUUGUAUUAAGUGUAAUUAAGAAUUUAGUAUCAAUGUAUUAGUAAAUUUAGUAUAAUCAAUUAAUAAUUUGUAUUAGUACACAUAUAUAAUUAUUAGUAUAAUUAAUAAUAUCAAUUAUAUUAUAUAUACUAAUAGACAUUAUAUAAUACAUAUAACUAAUAAUAUCAUUAUCAUAAGUUUGUAACUAAUUAAAUUAUAUAUUAUAUGUAUAAUUAUAUACAUAUAUUUAUUUUUUUAAAGCGGGUGGCGGGACGGGGGUACACUCCCCCGGUCCCCGCCCCGGUUAGACGCCCCGUUUCUAAGCGGGGAGAAAAAAAUUCCUCCCACCCCCGCCCCAACUUCCUCCCCAUUAGCCCCCCGCGGGACGGGUGCUCGCGGUCACCUGCUCCCAUUGUCAUCCCUAAUCCUAGACAUUUGUGCUACAGACGCAUAUAUGUCCAAAUAAUCAUGAUUUUCAAAAAUUGAGAACCAUAUUCUAAUAUAAUUUUUUAAAUAGAUUCGAGUAACCUAAUUAUUUCAAGAAUUGCAAGUUCAUUACCCUAUUUUUUUAUUUGGAUUAAGUCGAUUUUCUUGAUUAUCUACUUUUUCUUCUAUUCUUUUUGAACACCUGAUGGACUAUAUAUAUAUGCAAUCAAAUUCCUGUCUUUCUACCAUGUUUACUGUACAUGUCUUUCUACCGUCCAGCUGACAUCCUGUUUGUUGUUAAAAAAUCAGAGCCAUUUCUUUCUGAUAAUUGACACAUUUUUAAGUCCAACGGAUAUAUGGCACCAAACAAGCCCCAAGAUACAACAGUGCAUUCUCCAAAAAUGUUCUACUUGUUUUUUGGACUCCCCACUCAAGCUUGAAGCAAGGACUUGCCAAAAACCAAAAUUUACAAUUAACAUUGCAUAGUUUUGAAAUAAAAUAAUUUACUUCACAAAUUCCAAUCACUUUUUUAUCUUCUCAAUUACCUUUUAUCUCACAUACAUCACAUCACUAAAAGUACUACAGUAAUUAUCUCAAAUAAAUCAUUCAAAUAAACUCCUAUCGAAACAAACCCAACAAUUUUUUUGCUCAAGCCAAGGGCAUCAUCAGCUCUCUCUCUUUCCUUUACUAUUUCUUCUUUCUGCUAUUUCCUUCUUUUAUUCAAGCUAGGGAAAACACCACUCUCCUGGCAGCAGGGCGGGGUUGGAGAAGGGCUGGGAAAGCUUAAACCAAAAAAAUCUAACCUAAUGAAUAUUUCAAUCAAUCAAAAAUACAUGGAUGAGAUAUCUGAUGGAUGCUAUUAUUGCACUCCACUCCAUUUUGCCCAAUCUACAAACUGCAUUCCACCAUAGAUGUUGUUAGCAAAUCGCACACCAACUGUGAAGGCCAUUGCAACAGGUGGGACUCGCUUUGCUACAGGCGAUGCUUCGACCAAUCGCUCCAAGCCAUUAAUAAUCUGAUAACGAGUAUUGGAGGAGACUGCUAGGAAAACACCUGGCGACAAAUGAGAAUAAUGAAUAACACCAAAUGAAUGAGAACAAGCAACUCAUGGCAGAAGUUCUCUUAAAAAAUCUUCCAAUUCAAGCCCCAAGCAACGGCUUGUCCAGAAUACUGGUUAACAAGUUAAGACUCUUAGGUUCUUUUUUUCUGAAAGAAGAUUGUUGGAGGCUUGAACUUUAGCCACAUAUCUCAAGGAAUUUAACCAGAAGGAGAACACCAAGGUUCAAGCAUAGGUCUUUCUUUUCAUGUCCGUCAGCAACUUAAAUCAAAGGCACAUGAGAUGGCAGAAAUAAGAAAUCCAUCAGAUUGUUAUCAAACAUGUGCUUCAAUGACACAGGCAGAAGGAAGGAAAAAUGACUAGCACCAGGGAAACGAAGAACAAUGUACCCAAUCAAGUUAUUAAAUUUCAGAAAAAUUUGAAGAAUAGCUCAAACCUAUAUGAUUCGCAGACUACAUCCAAAUUUAAGAAGCAUAAGAUCCUUUCAUAGAAUUGUAUUCACUCAAGCGUUCUUUUCCAAAAAAAAAAAAAAAUCACGCGGUUGAUUUGACCGUGCAAUUGGCACUUACCCUGCGCCUAAGAAAAAGUCAUAUGUUCAUCAGGCCAUCAGGAAAAAAUUAGAGAGAGAAAAAGGAAAAAAGAAAAGAACAUAGAUAAGUCAGAGAGAGUCCAAGUCUUUAAGGAUUGAGUGCCUCAGAAUCAAAGUAUGCAACAUGAUAAUAAAAGGUAGUGAAGCUUUAAAUGCAUAAUGGAAACCUCACUCUGACGCAACAAAAUCAGAUAGUACACGCAGUGGCAGCAAUAGAAAGGAUAGGUUGGGUAGUAUCAAGUAAAAUACCCCAGAGAGCUGCACUCUUUACUAAAGGGGGAACUGGAAUAUCCUUUUCUGACUUCUUGAUGUUCCUGAAAGAUAAAAAGAAGCACGGUAUAGAUCUGGGGCCAUUUAAGAAUGUGCACUGCCAAAUUUUCUGGACAUCUCCACUCAAAUUUCAUCAGAAUGACAUAUAGUCCAUUAAUGCUUAUCCGAACAAGAAAAAUGUGAAAGAAUAGACUGAAUAAUUGUGCCACAGUGAGGUACGUAAUACUAUCUCGAGUUCCUCAUUUUGUGUGCUUAAUUGAAGGGAUUUAUGGGGCCAAUGUGAAGGUUAAUAUGAAUAAUGGCUCUCUCAAUACAGUGGAGAAAGCAAAACUUUAAUUCUUUCAAGUGUGCUGAAUAUGAUGAACUUACUUUUCUAAAAGGUUGAUUUAGGAAAAUAAUGGAUAAUUUGACCAAUUUGUUCCAUCAUCAAAAUUGCUGCUUUCAACUUAUUAUAUUAUUCAAAAUCCACUUUCUAAGAGCAAGUGAUUAAAAAAUUUAAUCUCUUGUUUAGUUUCACUUCCCAUUUUUCAGUGCAAAGAUUACUUUUUAAAAACUGCAUACACCAGUGAAAUGAUAAUUAGAGAUGUGAAUCAUAUUUUUUGUUAUUUCAUGCUUUCAGUCCAGAGCUUUACAGUGAGUUUAAGAAAAGAUAAUUACUUUAAUUCAAUACCCAAGAGAACAACAUACAAUAAGAAUUAUUCUCGUUCCAAAAGCCUAGAAACUAUUUCAUAGUCCAAUAGCAAGUAAUAGCACGAAGUUAUCUAAAAAGACAUACACCUUUUAGCAGUCAUAAUCAAAUUUGCUAUGCCUUGACCGAUAAGCCCACAGCCAAAUCCAACUGCACCAUAUAAUACACCCUGGAUCGAGCAUAAGUUAGGUUGUCAAUAAGAGAAAUAUUCAACAAGGAUCCGACAGAAAGUAGCACAAAAAAUCACAGAUGAACUGGGAAAGCAAGAUGUUAACAUUGGAACAAGAAUGCAUGCCAUUAAAAGAAAAAAGUGGAUCAGGGAAAGCUUUUAACUAAAUAAAAUGAGAUGAUAGGGGACAUAUGCUCCCUUCAAGACUUGAAGCCUGGUAACCAAAUAUAGUAAUUGUCACCCGGUGUAUUUACAAAAUGUAUUACCUUGUAAAAGUAUGUAGCGAUUCGUUGCCGGACUGAAAAUUUGCAUCCUGGCCUUUCAGCUUCAAAAACACUAGAACCAAAAUAUUCACAAUUAAACACCUAAAUAGUCAGUUGUAACAGCAAACAAGAUGCACGCAAUUCUGCUAGCCCAAUAAACACCAGAAGUAUAAGACUAAAAAGGGGCAUGGGAUUGAGGUAUUCACAGGACACUCAAGUAUUAACUAAUUAAUCUUAUAUUAGGCACAAACCCUGUCAAAAUUGGGAUAGUAGCAAUUAAAAUACAAUCAGCUGAUAGUUUGCAAUAUUUAAUGGUAUUCAGUACAACAUGGGGUAAUGCAUGCUUUAAAAGGAGAAAAAUCUUUAGUCCUAAUACUUGGAGUAACUCUGAAACUGAGUUAUAUCUCUAACAUGCAGACUAGUAAUUGAGGCUAUAAAUCCUAAUUGUGCAACAGAAGUAGCUGGAAUUAUUUAUAUAAGAGCAUCACCUAAUGAUCGGUUGAUUGCCUAAAUCAACAACCUUUGAGGUUUUGACCAACACAAGCAAAAUUUUUUCCUGUAUAAUUUGGCUGGUCAUGACAUAUGUUGGGUAAUCAAAGACACUCAGUUGCUAGUUUUACUUUACAGCUUUGCAAUCUUUAAAAUGCAUUCCAAUCUGGAAGAAUAGGAAGCAAUUUAUUCAAAUCUUAUACACCUGACUUGACUUUAAGGUUUCUAUACGUGAAUCUCUAACUUUCAAGUCACAACAGAUGUUUUCUUUUGAAAUGCAAUAUUUUAUCAUCAACUGCUUCCUACCACCAGAUUGCUGGUUUUCAACAGCCCCUUGAUCAGCUUCAAUGGCAAUAUCUAUGUUAUGAUAAAGUCAACCACACAAGGGGUCAUCACUAUACUGUUAAAAGAUGAAAGAGAACAAAUGACAGUAACAUUAAGAUCCUAUAAGCUAUUAUACCUGCUUGGGAGAGAAGCAGUGGCAAGUUGUAGUCGCCCUAAAAAGCCACUCGAAACAGAUCUCUUCCCAAUACGAGCAUAAGGUGCCAGCAUGCCAACCAGAGCAAUGUCAACUACCACCCCAACCAAAACAUCUGCAGCAUACAAUUCGAACUCGGCCCAAAAAUCCUUACCCCUCUUCUGAACUUCCGCAAAUGUUGCACAACAAGUAUCAAUGACCACCUAAAAUACAAGACAUCCAGUUACUUAUGACAGCCCAACAGAAAAUACAUUAACAAAAGUUGGAUAACUUGUUGAAACUAAACUGGAAAGUUCACCACAAAAGUCCAGUCUACAAGGUUGAAAGCUACAAACUCGAUUUCAACCUCAUCCAUGAAAUUAUUCUUUAGUUUGUGCAUUUUUCUGCCAUGCAACUUCACAGGUUCAAAGAAUACAGGAAAACAGACAUAAUGCAUCACUCUAAUGUCAAUGUUGUCACUUCAGGUUCCAUUUGGUAUUUGUGUCAAGCAUUUCAUGCAUCCACAAGAAAAGCAAGCCCUGACAAACUCCAAAAAACAGCCGAAACAGCUAAACGAGUAUCCCUAAACCAUUCCGUAUGGACCAAAAUGAGCAACUGUCCUUGAUUAACGAUUAGAAUAAAAACACACAUCCCACAGGCAUAACUGCCAUAGCUAAGCUCAAAGAAUAAUCCUUUUUGGCAAGCAAUACAUGUUCCCAUACAUAAUAAUUCAACAUUAUAACCCAGUUCAAAGUCUUAACUAACCUCUGUCCCAACUUUAAACAAAAACGCUGGAUCAGCAAGCAUUCGAUUCCUGAGCAUAGAGCAGUACCUCAUCAAGAAUCCCAACGGCCAAACUGACCCCUGCAUUAUGAAUUCAAUCCAGAAACACUCCAAUUAACAAUCCAUCGACCAACAGUAUCAAGAUGGCAAUAGCAACAAAUCCAUGACCAGGGGAAAAAAUUUAAACAUCAUAAGCAGGCAUUUCCACCUGUAAACCCAAAUAACGGCUAAGAAUCAAGCUCCGAAUCCCGGUGGUCUCGGCAGCUUCUAACAUAUCAGAAGGCAGAGUCGCCCCUCGUUUUUCAGCUUCUCUCAUCACUUCUUCAAACUUCAAAAGAGGCCCAAACUCUUUUUCAUCAAAAUCACCUUCUUCUUCUUCAUCUCCGCCCCGCCCCCGCCACCGCCACCGCCACCGCCAGACGGCAAUCGCCCAUUGCCGCCAUCUCCUCCACUUCCAUUAUCAAUUCUGGGUUCCUCUAUAACCUCCUUGAGAGCACUCGUUUUCGCAAUAUAAUCCGAUUCGCUACAUUUGAGCUGAAACACUUGGCAACUGUUACUCCUAUUAUUUUCCCUGAAACUACCAUCAUUUCUGAUUGAAAAGCUGGAAAAGGUCGAGUUUUUGGAAGAACCCAAAAGCCUGAACUGGAAGUCAACACUCUGGGCAGCGAAUUGGUUGCUUUCAUUUGGCGAAAUUGACAGGUUUUUCAAUGCCAAGCUCAAGCUCUGGAAGAAAUAGCCAUACUUGUCAAUGUAAAGCUAUUACCAAAAAUACAAAAGUUCUAUACCUGUUUCCUUUUUGGCUGUCAACACUUAAAUCAGUUAUCAAGAAAAAAUCCAGCACGAAAGCUUUGGGCCUUUUGGCCUUUUGGUGAAGUAUCAGGAAUCCGGUUCCGUAUAGGCUGCAACUCGUAAGAUCCCACAUAGUAGGGUUUAUGGCACGCUGUUGUUGGAGUGGCAGCUUUAUUUGUACGACUAUUUAUAUUUAGACACCUGGAAUUUUGUCAUUUUGUAAUUAUGCCCCAUAGAAUGUUACAAAGUUUCAGUAUACAGUCCCUGGCCGUUGGCCAACUACCAAAUGUCAAAUGGGCAAACAAAGCAUGAAAAGUGGGAAAUAUUGGCUCGAGUUUAUUUUAUUUUUUUAUGUAGAACAUAUUAUUUUUAUUUUUCCAUCAUGCAACAGGCAAUUCAAGAAAAAAGAGAUAUAAAUUCAAGGGCACUACUUUUCUUCCCUAAUUCUAUAACCUCACUCGUACUCUAUUAAUAAUCAUAGAAACAGCUUUAAUGAGCAAUUUAUGCCUGAUUGUUAUAGUAAUUGAGAUUGAUUUUUCAAACAAUUUUCAAUAAGUUACACGAGUAGAGUUAGCCUUUUUUACUUUGUUGAUAAACAUGCAUAAUAUGGGUAUUAUUAUACACCAUAUAUCUUGUACAAUUGAAACAGAAGCCCAAUUUUGCAAGUGAAUUUUUUUGGAUAUUUGUCUAAAAUUUUACCGUAACUUAUUGUAGAAGUUGUAGAAAAAAUUUUAAAAUGUGUAAAUUUUUGAAAAUUUUGAAGUGUAUAGCUUAAAAACUUUGAGAAAUUUUUUUAGAUUGCUGUAACUAAAAUUGUUAAAAAAACUUGUAGCAGACAAACUUGGCUAAAAACUUACUUGCCAAACAAUGCCUGAAAAUCGUUCCAAACCCCAUCCCUCCUUUUCCUUCUUCCCUGUUCUCAUAAAUGCUUCCUACUUCCAAACCUCUAACAAUACACACACAAUCUUUUCUUUACAAAGAAGAGGAGAACAAUAUAUAGAGUCUUGUUUUCAACUUAUUCUUGUUGUAUUACUCCAAUGUCAGAAUAUUAUAACUAUUAAUGUAAAUUAGCCUCCAUAAGCACAAGCAGCAACUGCAAUAUCAGGACACAUUUUGCAUUCAUCCUAAUUGUGUUCAUAGAGGGACAUGCUCAGAAGUCACAGCAUUGCAUCAGAACUUGUUUGAUCCCCGUCCUUGGCAUUGUCAGUUCCUAAUAUAAACAUCUCCAGAAGCAUUUUGCCUCUCCGAUUUUCACCUCAAAGCUUAGACAGCAAAACCAAGAUAAACAAGCAAGAAAAGCCUUUGAAUUUUCAUCUUUCUCGGUGCCUGAAGCAACUUUACCAGGUGAUUACUGAUAAAACUUACCGUGGUGCUAUACAUUAGCGAAAACAAAGAGCCAAAAGCAUACACAGCAACAUCGACUAAUUUGCUAGGCAUGCGAGUUGGAUGUAAACCAAGAAUUUACAUGGGUUAAGCAGCUUGACUAUUUACUUUUUUAUCUGAAAAUUUCAUGAGAUGAACAUGUCACUAGAUUGUUACUACAUUUCAGACAUAGCGAUCAAUUGACUUGGACAGAGUUUCUGUCCAAAUCAACCAAAAUUUCACCUGCUUACAAAAUCACAUCCUAUCAAAUGGAGCUGUACAUGUAUGAACCCAAAAGAAUCUGAAAACUAUAAAUGAUAUACCUCCUUUUUUCCCUCUCUAGAGUCGACUUAAUGUAUUUACUCGCCUAUACUAAUGUUGAGAACGGAAUGUCAGCCAAAAUUUUUGAGAACGAAUACUAAUUUGUCUUCAAAUUAUCCUUCCUUCCUUCCUUUUCCAAGAAAAUUGCAUUAUAUUUCACCAAAUCAGUACCUCCUUCAAGCCUUCAAAAGUCAAAGAACAUCUUGACAGCGAAUGACUUGGCACCUCAAUAUACACAUUAUAUCAUGAGAAACGAGCUCAGACCCAACCUUCCAGGGUUACUAUCAGGGUAUCUAAGAAGACUUGGUAAUGUCACGAUUUUUCAAAACAAAGAGAAACUUUUGCGGUGUCUUGACUGAAGGGAAAGUCUUCCAUGCUCACCUGAUGCCCUAGGAGUAGGCGCUGUACUUUCAACAACAUCUGUUUGAGCUUCUGAAGACUGGGGAAGCAGAUUGCAUCCCAUCCUCCUUGCAAUGAAACGAGGAGAACUGAUAGAGCUGUAUGACUUUGCCACCCUUUUCAUCUCUUGCUUUAUUUUAGUGAAUUCUUCUUCAAGCUCUCCAACUCUAGAUCUCAUCCUUUCCAUGUCUACUUUUAAUACCUGGUUCGCACGAGCAACUGUCAUCCACCCAUCUCUCUGGAGAAUCUGACCCGCCAUGUCACUCGGACAGUCAUUGGAACAGGAGGAGCAGUUUCAGCAUCCAAGACAUGGAGGCAGCCGGCAAGAGCUGCCCUCAGCUGCAACUGCUCAAAGAACAGCACUUGAAGAACAACUCUGAGUGGCAACCUUUCAUUUUGAGAUGCAUGAGCACAAGCAUCAAUGGACAGCUUCCGAAAGUCAAUAAUGUUGCAUAGCAGUUCCUUAUCUUUCUCAGGAAGCCAAGGGUGUUCCUGUCCACAUUAGGAUAAUAACAAGCUUAUUGGUCACCUUUGUAGGAGUAUAAAUAGCAGGUACACAGAAAACUGCGUGUAUCUGUGUUGAAGCAUGUUAUACGCAUGUGUAGCCAAGACGCACUGCAUAUAUCAAGUGAAGGCUAAAACAUAACACAAAAUCACAAGGGAACUGUUACAAACUAGACAUAUUCAAAAAUGUCCCCAAUUGGAGAUCACGAGUUUAAGAAAAAUAAAGAGUCUCUUUGCAAUGAAAUCAAACAAAAGCUGAAACAAUUAACUAAAAUAACAUUUUCUGGUCUUUUGAAGAAAAUUACAACUGCUUCAGAAAUAAGAACUGAAUUAUAAGGAAGCCUCUAGCAAUUUAAGAUGUGCUGUAACCAGAAAGCUGAAGAGGAAAUAAUGAUACGAACUAAGAAAAAUCAUUUUCUAGAGCCCAAUUUUCCAAGAACAAGAACAUGACUUGUUCACAUCAUUUGGGGAGAUUCUUUGACUAUAGACAGCACUUUAAUUCAGUUGACUGCAAAUACUUUGAACAUAAAAAUUACUUUAAUAUGAGAGAACCUGUCAGCCAAACUGUCGUCCAUCACACUUUCAUUUCCUUUUUCUUUUCCUAAGCAAAACUCAGCUUCAUCUGGAUCAUAAAGGUCCUAAAGGACUGAAUUAAGUUGAUUGCUGUGUAUCAAAUGCAAAAGGAUUUUGCAAGUAAUUUAUACACAAGUCAUGCAGUACCACAGAAAGUCAGAAACACAUCAUUAUGCAGAACUCCUAACAUAAAGGAGAAAAAGGAAACUGCUUUGGAGUUGCACGACAUUCCAUUAAUAAAACUAAGUUACCAGCAAUUAAUUCACAAAUUUUACGUGACACACAAGUUGAUAAGCAGCAGUGAACUUAUUGUUACCUUUAAGUAAAUAUCCAGCGCUCGGUACAAUCCAUCAUGCAAAGAUCUUGAAGAUUCUGGCAAGGCUUCUGCAAGCAAACGCAUUUUGUUGGGUUUCAGGUUCACAUCAGAAGCAACCUCAGCAAUGUAUCCAUCUACCAACUUUGCCACUCUCUUCAAUGGUCCUGAUGAUGGAGAUGUUUUAGAUCAAAAGAUGAUGGGGAUAGAGAAGUUAGCCUCGAUUCAGAAGACAUAAAAUGAUGAAUCAUUCGCUCUACACAAUCAGUAUUGUAUAAUGUAUCAGAGUCUGAGUAACAUGGUAUCAGUAGACCAUCUAGAGUAGCUUGAUCCAGUUGCACCCCUAUUCUUCUCUCUAAAGAGUCCUGACAUGUAUGAUUGACACCCAAUAUCAAUGCUACUCGUAGAAGCCCUAACAGAAAUCGGCAAAACAAUGUCCCCUUUUUUUCAGGGAGCAGCUUUGUAACACUUUCUAAAAGAACCUUUUGGUCAACAGCAGCUGGAGUCAUGCUGAAACUUGCAACAGUUCUGGGUUUACCACUCUGUCCACCCUGCCAUCUGCCCAAACCAGGAAGGUACUUUCUGCAGUAGUGCAUUAUAGCACCUGCUAAAUUUUCUGGUUUUAUACCUUUUCCUUCCAUUGUAUGAAUCAACCUCUCAAACAAAUGCACACUCAGAUAUGAAAUGUCUUCAUACCACCAGUCUGAUUCCAUGGUACUUUGGAUCUUUGCACCUGUAUUGAUUCCAUUCCAUAGAAUGCUACCCCCAGGGCUCUGUAAACUACCAUACAUCAACAUAGGCCAUCCAAAGAGACUAGGAUCUGUACAAACCAUCACGGAGACAGCAUUUAAACAUCUACUGACAAUUUGCAGCUUGUCUGCUCUUGAAAUUACUGGUUCACAACUUUGGAGAGCCAAAAGGCAAUCCUUCCAGUUCUUUAAACAUUAUUGUGGAAGAAACCUUCUGACUUUGACAAUAAGUUAUCUUCUCCAUGCUCGUCUGUCAUUUCAAGGUAGUCCGCAGCACAAUAUACCAUUACUAUGUUUCUUGCUGUAAAUUCCACCCGCCCACCAUAACAGAAUUUUAUUAUGACCAAAAAUGUCUCACUGCCACCAGGGAAGUCUUCAAAAGUUGUGAUGAAAUUCCCAUCAGUGGAUUCUUCAGAUUCUUCGAUUAUCUUGGAAAUCCUCCCACAUCUUGAUACCAGUGGAAACUGGAGACAAAGAAAAAUUAAUAUUAUCCUCAGGAUUAAGAAAACUACAAAAAAAAAAAAAAAGACAGAAAAUGAGGAUUAAAAGAGAAGAAAAAAGCAAUUCCAAGGAAAAAGUCAAAGAAAUCCCACACAACUCAAAUUAGUACUGACCCCUCCCCUCAGCCACAGAAGAGGAAAACAGUUGUGCAUUAAGCAAGAAGAAGGCAAAAUUUAAAUUUAAAAAAAAAUUAUUAAAAUUCUAAAACCACUUAAGAACCUAAUGAACAGAGGUGCUAAAACACAAAGAAAUGAGCUAUUGAAAAAAAAACAGUGUACUGAUUUAUAGAGAGAUCGCAGUCAUUUCAAACAAGACAACAUCCUUGGAGUCCUCACAAAUUGUUUUAGAGAAGAAACACUUUUGUUGCUAAAAGGCGGGACAUUGGAACUUCAUACAUGUAACAAACAAAAUGUCAGAGAGAGAUUCAUAGUAAUUGGAAAAUUGCAAAAUAAUCAACUGACGGUCACGUUCUAAAAGCAAUGGACAUGCAAAAGCAGACAUUUGUCAAUAUGCUUUGAUGUGAGAAGUUUAACACAGUACAAGAUCAUUGCCUUCGACCUACUCAGAUACAAAUGGCACUACAUCAGUAACCAACUCAAGAUGAACAACAGAAAAAGUACCACCAAAAGAACAACAAAAUACAAAAAUAGAUCUCAUAUAUUUCCAGAUGCACAAAGAAUAAGAAAUACCUUGUGAAGAUGGAAGUUAACACCAUCUACCACCACAGUUAUGUCACUUGGUAGAGUUGCAUUAUAGAACCUGUGAAGUUCAUUAUAAAUCAAAAUCGAUUUAAAGCUCAUGUACCAGGUAAGUAUGUGUAACGUAUCUAAAGUCAAAACAUUAACGUAUGUAAAGUCAAAACAUGUUCGGCAUCCUACUACAUGUCAGGGAAUGAAGAAUGACGAUUAAACUCAAGUUCCAACUUCAAUAAGAGAGAUAGCAAUUGUUUUUGCUCAUAAUCAUGCCUCCUUCACAUUCCUCACUCUGACACCAAUUCGUGUACAGGCAGUUCAAUAAAUUCAAAUCUUAUUCUGAACUAUAAACCAUAUUUGCGACAGGUAACUGAACUGAACAAGGACAGUCAGGAUAUUUACCCAAGGACAAUCAGGCUAUAAGAGCCACAACUGAAUUCCUAUUCCUUGAUCCCAAUCAUGCGUAAUAAUGGAGGCACUGCAAAUAUAACAAGUUCCACAAUUCACCACAAUCUAUAUCUACUAUAUUUGAAUGCCAAAGACUAAUUCUAUAGUGUUAAAGAACAUGAUGAUUAUUGACAGGAUCAAAGCAAAUAACUUGAACAAGUCCCGGAGCUGAUGCCUUCACAUAUGAUUUUUUAUCAAGAAUCUAACAUAAAUAAGCAACUAAGUAAUAGACAGAAGCAUACCAGUCAUUGCCUUCACGGCGGAAACCAGUAACUUUUGCUGCAGGAGCCAUAUCAAUGCCUCCCCUGAGGACUCAACAGACCUUCUCCUCUAUAAGAACAAUUAGUCAAUCAGUUCAGUCCAAUUUAACUCUCUUCCUCUGUUUUUCGCUCUCUUUUGAAUUGAAUAGAAGCAUCAGAGGACCAGAUAAGUCCUAUCACCAGAUUAAAUUAAAUAAACCCCAUCCUAAAGAAUAAAGUCAGGGCAGGCCACCAACCAUAGCAACCACAAGAACAGAGUCAAAAUGAGGCAAACCCAAAUCACCCCUCCAAAAUUAAGUAAAUUCUGAGCACAAAUCAAUCAAAGUAAUCAUUUUUACGUUCAGGGUCCUCUCUUUCCCUUUCUCGCACCACUUUACAGCUAAGCCACUGAGUCCCCAGUAAUUCUUGCACACAAAAAGACUAGCUCACUGCUCUUGAUAUCCCCUACAAGACACAAGACAGCAACAGCAUGGUCCAUACUCCACACGUUGCUUUAAUACACUCCCAAAAAAAACAUACAUAUAGAGAACCCACAAGCCAAGACACGCAACCGGCGGAGAAAAGCAUCGUUUUCACAAAUUUUCGAGCUUUAUCCCACGGCCCAUUGCUAUAACUUCGGGUUUGAGUGUUUGACCCCUUCAGAUAAUCUAAAUUUUGAGAGAAUUUAGGCCGGCAGAGGAUUUAAAGAGGGACAAGGGUACAUGACAAAUGAUAUGAGAGAGGAAGCGGAGAGGUGGGGGAAUAGUAGAAUAAUAAUAAGCGUGUGUGUAGUUGGGUCACGCUUUUUGUCGAACAGAUGGUCGGAAGGAAAAACAGGGAAAGCGUCCGAGGGAAUAUCGAGGUGAAUCCAACGAGCGGUGCGGGCUUGUGUCCUGUGGGUGGUGGAAUUACUAAUGAGAUUGUCUGAUAAUUGAUGCCUACGUGGUGGUGUUAUUAUUUCAUGGAUUUUUUCUGAUUGGGACAUUGUUGUGAUUGGUAUAAUUGUGGUCUUUUUUCCUUUUCUUUCUUUUCUUUUCUUUUCUUUUCGGGAGUGAUUGUGGCUUUGUUGGUGGCUAACCCCACGUGAAAUGGUGCUAAAUUAGUAAAUUGUGUGUUGGCAUGAGAAAUUCUUUGGGUUAGCUUUGCUUUCUUUUGAAGGCAGUGUAAAGCAAAAUUUUGUGACUAGAAGAUGCUCAAGUGCUUCGUUAUGUUCUAUCAUGUGCAAUUCGAUGAUAAAGAAUGAGUACUAUGAAGUCUAUCAUUAUAUUCAAUUCAUAUGUCUGUAGUUAGAUGGUAAAGAUUGAGAAUUCUGAUUAUGCUUUCUAGUUGGCAUUGUUUGGAUUAGGGUUUUCUGUAGAAAAGUUUCUAUAUUUUUGGUAAGCACAUUUUCAAUCUCGUUUUUAUCUCACAUACAUCAUCGUUACAAUUACCUUUCUACAAAAACUCCUAAAAAUAGCAAGCGAGACGGAUUUGAAUACUUCUACAAUUAGAAAAGUAAAUUAGUGUCAAUUGUCUUAAACAUAAGCAAAAAGUUACAGAUAUAAUGCUGAAUACUUACUUUUAUCAAAAGCCAUUUAGUGUGGGAUUUGUCUCGAUGGACAUUUGUCAGGAUAGAAUUCAAGUAUCAAUUCACCAAAAACUUGCAAAGAUAGAUUUCAAGUGUUAAUUUCUUGAUAAAAUAAAAUUACAUAAGAUAAGUAUUUAAAUGUAACAGGUCAAUAAAUGUGAAUGUAUAUGUAUGUUUUGUAUGUAUACUAUCUUAAAAACUUUUCAUUCAUUGCCAUUUCGUAGUUAUAGUUAACUAGUCAAAGACAAAAAUUACAAAAAAAGAUGAAAAGCAUGAGAGGGAGACUCGAACAGGUCACCUGAGUGAAUCAUGAAUAUGAAAUGAAGAGGCCACGAAGCAACAAUUAAUGGUGGAGAGUUGCAUUCCAAUCCAUUUUAGAAAAAGAUUAAACUUCUAUAUACUGAUUAUGUAAUGCAAUUCAUUUUAAAAAAGAUAUGUAUAAAUUAUGCAUAAAAAAAACUAUAUAUACAUUAGUGGGGUUGGGUACAUGCACAUAUACAAAACAUAAAUUUCAAAUUAAAAUUAAAACUAAUUGUCAUAUUUUUCAAGUUUGAUAAUAUAUACACUAUCGGAAUAUUAAAAAAAUAAUUAUUUAAUAAAAGUCACCAUACCUGCGCGAAAAUCUUUGGCAAAGCAAAAGGUGACACUUUCCUUUAGUGAGAAAAUAAUGUGAAGAAGAGGCUAAACUGCAAUUUGACGUUAUAAACCCUCAUACUGGAAAUACAUCUUGAUCAUAGAUUGUUGCCGUGAAUUUCUAUUCAAAACAAAUUUUUUUUUUUUCAUGUACUCGUAUAGUAUUUACAAGAGAUUGUGAAUUUAUUAAACUCAAUUGGAUUUUGCCAUGUCCAACGGCUUAUCAAACUAUAAAACUAGGAUUAUAUAUGACUCGUAUAGGGAAACAACCAAAGCGCCUGUGGCCUAAUGGAUAAGGCGUCUGACUUCUAAUCAGACGAUUGUGGGUUCGAGUCCCACCAGGCGUGUCUUUGUAUUUUUCGGGACUUUCAUGGAUGCGUUAUCCAAAACCGGACGAAGAUGUUUCAGGGCCUUUCGUGAUAAAGUUGGUGGCAUAGAUCUGUUUUUAUUUUUUGUGUUUUGUAAUUUUACAGAUUCUGUCCAACAGAAAUAUUCGAUCGUGAAUGAGGCGAAAUGUUUAUGUGCUAACCCAGAGAUACAGCAUAUAUCUGACUAGUGGUAAUCAAAUUGGCAAAGCAUGAUUUAACAUAUGACAAGGAAAAUUAGUAGCCGUCUGACUUUAAAUCAAGAGAUACAUGCUUUAUUUAGAUCUAUGUGUGCGUGUGUGUGUGUAUAUAUAUAUAUAUAGAGAGAGAGAGAGAGAGUUGCUUCCUAACACCUUCUUACUUAGGAGUACAUUGCAGUAGCAUGGAUGGUUUUGGAUCAAAUUAAAAGCUCAGACCAAAAUCCAUGGCAAGCAUUUUACAUCUUUAUGAAACUUAAAAAAUCGAUGGUGCCAACACUAAGUAGGUAGCAAUAGUUUGUCUAACGAACGAUUGGUAGUGUAGCACAGAAAUAGGCAAAACAAAAGGCCAAGUACUAACUAAUUCCAAUCGCCUUGAACCAUCACAUGCUUUUCAGUAGACUAGGUUUGAAGAACGGUGAAGCAUCUUUUAAUGCACAAAGCUUCUACCAAGGUCUUCUUAAGCCUUUAAUCAAGUCAGGGCAAAUAGCCUACAUUAUUUGUUGGCAAUUCUUUAAGAGCAUUUGCAAACGCGAUGGUUAUUACACUUAACAUAAGCCUUGAGAGGUCACGAGCUGAUAACAAAGACCCCAGCUAAAACCCAAACCUCAGCACUCAUUCACCAGGGUGUAAUGGACCGUUUACUGCCGGUAUGUCAUUUUAAUGCUGAGAAGCAUCUUCAAUACCUUGACAAGUAAAACUGAUCGCAAGCCUCUUCGUAAAUGAGAAAAGGGCCAAUAGUCACGAAAAGAAUAAUAUAUUAGGGAAAUGAAGCCUGAGGAGGCAGAACAAAAUGAUACAACAUGAUCCCGUAUAGUUGUGGUAUGCAUUAAGCAGCAGAAGAGUGACCACAAAUUACAAACAGUACAUCUAUCCUUCUACAGUUCUCCAAAGUGUCUUAGAUAAAGCAUCACAAGUCUUCCUACUAAAAUGCCGCCCUUAAGACCAACAUUGAGUUUCAUGUUCCUUGUAACUGCACGCUAUGGACUAGGAACACUUUGAAAGUGAA